rnacentral:lncRNA from 1 species
AUUUGUUUAUUUUUUUAUUUUUUUAAAGAGCCAUCUACAAACAAUUAUAUGUUUGAAAAAUUACCAGACUUUUCAGAUAUUAUUCUCCCGUCCAUCAAGCGAACACGAAAAUAAAUAGCUGAAAAUAAAUAUCCUCUACAAAGUGACGAUAGAAAUUUUAUAAUCAAGAUCGAGAAUAUAGAUCUUGUUCUAAAUAGUUUAAAUAAUUUUCAAACCAAAAUUCAAUUGAUUUGGAUAGCUUUACACCGUUAAACCAGAAAACGCCUCAUAUUUACUAUUAAAAUUAUAAAUUUUUGAAAUCCUUUUAUCAUUAGUUCAAUAAUGUCGAAAAGAUUUGAAAUUUGUUUUCUAAAUGCUUCAAGCGAUAUAGAUCAUGUUCAACGGUGCUGAUCGACUGAUCGUCGAUUUGGAGGCUCCAUUAUCGAAAAUAAAUGAAUGACAACGGAGUCCAUUUGUUACCGAUAACAUUCCAGCUCAACUCAUACUUUGAUAAUAUAUAUUAGUGAUUUACUUUAAUAUUUAGUACAUUUAAAUUACCGGGUUCGGAUUUUCUAUUUCGGGUACAAGUUCCCAUAUUUGUUUUCAUUUACAGUUUUCGGAUUUCAAUUUUUUAUUCGGAUUUGGUUUCGGGUUUUGCCAAAACCGCCCUAAAAAAGAGUAACUUCACUUUUGGUACCUUUUAACAGCAAGUAGGGAUGUCAAUGGGUGCGACUACCCGAAAUUUUAUUCAAAUCCGAAUUCGAACAGAGAGCGAAUUUAUCUGAUGCUAAAUGGAUAUAAUUUCAUAUCUGAAUAUCAAAACUAAAAACCUAUCGGAUAUGGAUUGGAAUAUAGAUUUUAACUGUACCCAACCCAAACCCGAACCCAAUCCGAAUCCAAAUUUAUUUUACAUUAUAUAUAAUAUAUAUAUAAAAAUUUGAUGAUAUAUUUGAAUUUGUAUUUUAAAAUUUUAAAUUUAAUGUAAUAUAUAUAUAUUUGAACUAGUGAAAAGAGAGAUAAUUAUCUCGGGUUUGAAUUUUCGCAUUCGGGAUCGGGUUAGGGUUUGGGUUCGGAUUUCGGGUUUGGAGUUGGGUUGGGGCUCGGGUUUGAAAAGCCGCUCCGAAUUCGACCCAUUGACAUCCCUAACAACAAUACAUAUCACUUGCACUGAAACUCCACUUUUCACCCUUGAUUUACUCCAAAUUCAAAAUGAGACCAAGUUGCGAAUCUUAAAAAGUCGAAGGACUACAACACAAUUUACCGCGAAAAAUGCUGAUACACUGCACUCAUGUUCUUCAAAACAAAUCACACAUACACACAUACAAAAAAAAGAGAAAAAAAGAAGCGAAAAUUUCGAAGAGAAGGAAACUUCUUUCGGCGAAUCGCGACGAUAAGCCGAGGAAAUUUCGGAGCUAAAUUUACUGGUUGAGAGGAAUCCACUCCAACUCCAAGUCUAUUUCGCCGGACUCGACGUUUUGUAGCUUGAGUGACACCUCUUGCUUGAUCUUGCCGUCGACGAUGUUGAUCGUGCUGUCUUUGAGGAGCGCGUUGUCAUGCGACUUGAGCCACUUCCCGAUCGGCAUGUCGGCAAGCAGGUCGGGGUCGCCGAACGCCAUCGCGGCGGUUAUCAUCGGUUGGAGGUCGACUUCGGCCUCCCCCAUUAUGUCGUCGGCGGAGAGCAUGUCGUGGUCGAAUACUUGCUGUUGUUUGGAAAAGAACGAGGACUAAACUGGAAGGUACGUUUUCUAAAAGUUCUGCAAAAGUGAUAUUUGAGUGCCGCUGCUUCCGCAGCAUUCUACUGCGGUAAGCGGAAAAAGCUUUAAAUCGGAACUGCUACUUCUAGGGAAAAAGGCUAUUUUAGCUUUUUGACAAAGGGCGACUGUUGCUUCUCGAAAUAGAGAAGCAGUUCUAGAACCCAUGUCAUUGUAGAAUCGGAAAAUUCCGCAUGCUUGGUUGAGUUUAAAGUUGGUAUCACCUUCAAGCAUGCCGUUUAAACGAGGCCCGACAAAGUGACCCUUUAUAUAUAUAUAUAUAUAUAUAUAUAUAUAGAGAGAGAGAGAGAGAGAGAGAGAGUGAGUUAGGCUAGCGUGCUUUCAGAAACACGGUGGCCUCCAUACUGUCAAGUCGUUUUCGAUGCUGGGAAUUUCAAAUCGACGAUCGACUACGUUAGACUUUAUCUAAAGUAUAUGAAUUACCUAAAAUAAAUUUUGCGAUAUUUCAAUAUUAUCUACCUAGUGAUCAAAGGGACCCAAAAUCCACAAUUUUAAUUGUUGUGGGGAACCGCUUGCAAGUUUAACGGUGUAGAAAUAUCAAAAUCACGUGAAAUUUGACAAAAUUUUUUUAUACUAUAUAAAACAAGAUCAAUGUUUUUGAUCUACAAUUUUAGUAUUAUAUUAUCACUUUUUGUAAGAUUUUUAUUUUCAGAUAUUGAUUUUGAGUCUUUCAAUCACAAAUUAAAUGAUAAUGAAAAAUCAUAAAAUUUAUUUUUUGCAUACUUUUAAUACUCUAGAUCAAGUCUAAUGAAGCUUAUCGUCAAUUCAGAAGUCACAGCAUCAAAAAUAAUUUGAUAGCCCAGAGGCCACCAUGCUUCUAAAAGCGCACAAGCCAAACAGUCUCUCUCACUCUCUCUCAAUACAUAUAUGUGUGCGCGUGCGCGUGCGUGUGUAUGUAUAGAGAGUUGAGCUCAUGUGCUUUUAAAAGCACAGAAACAUUUGUGCUUGUGAUUUUUUAGCCGUUGGAUCGCCUCAAGAUCUGUGCAGUACUAUAAACGGUGUGUCCCAUUAAGUCCCCUUUACUAGUGCUGCGUAGAUUUUGAAGCGAUCUGACGGCUAAAAAAUCACAAGCCCGCUGAGGUCCUGUGCUUUACACACACACACACACACACACACACAGAGACACAAAAGUUAGUAUCAUCUUUCAACUAAUGUAUUUAAGCUGAAGCAUGUUGCAACCCAACGGUAGAUUUCAACUUUCCUGGUUUAACCUUCUUCAUGAAAUUCACUCUUCAACUUCUCAAACCAGGAUCGAAACCAUAAAACGGAAACGUCGAUCGCAGAUGAAUCGAGUUUUCCACUAAACAAGAAGCUACAACAAACAAAUAGAACACAUAGCAUGGCAAAAAUAGAUUGACUAUGCCAUUAAUUUUAUGUAGUUAUCGUCCCCUCAACAGUAGUAAGCUCCUCGUAAGUAAUUUUGCAUGAACUCUUCGCAAAUGGCCGACCAAUUGACUAAUCCACCAAUAUUAAUUACCCUACGUGAUUUCGCACUUUUAAGUUUAAUACUUUUUGAUGAAAAAUGGCUUAAGCGUAGUCCUAAUCAAUCUAACUAAACACCGUGAAAUGCUGAAACGAACAAUUAUCGAUGUUGAGGUAGUGAACAUACCAGUUGCAGAGGCCCAUAUUCUCGAGGAACAGAUAACUUGAGCUCCUCAUUCCAGAUAGGGUUCAAAUUGCUUUUGAUAACAGCAGUUUGCGCUCUCUGCAUAAAGCUAUCAUCUUGUCAAAAUUCGAUGAGAAAAGAAAGGCCACAUUACACGUUUGGUCUUAAAACUAUGAGGCGCAUGACACUGUGGUCCUCAAACUUUAAUUUGUUGUAAUUUUUGGCUCGAACUUUCUGAAUUGUUGCAAUCAAGUCCUAAAACCCAAUUUAGUCGACUACAUGUCGAUGUGCCGCUAAUAUCGAAGUGAUGUAGUAGUACUGUGAUUGAUGAUAUGGUAAUAAUUAAAAUGCCACAUUACUUCUACAUUAGCAGCAUGCCAAUAUUUGAUCAGCUAAAUUGGUUUGUGGAGUUUGAUUGCAACAAGUUAGUAAGUUCGAGCUAGAAGUUCCAACAAAAUAAAAUUUGAACACCAAAAGUUGUAAUUAAGCCGAAAAGAAAAAAAACUUGAAGAGGCAGUAAUGUCACCUUCUAAAGAAAACACAAUACUUAUCAUGCAAUUAGCUUUAUCUUUGUACAAGUUGCGGAAAACUCUUUCCUAAAGUACAAAAAAUGACUAAAAUGUUGAAGAAAACAAGAAACUAAACUACCUGUUGCCCAAUGGUCAAGACGACGUAAGGAUCGCUACUUAGCAUAUCUCUGAUGGCUAGAUUUGUUCCUUUUAUGACUUUGACCUUUAGUAUGCCGAUGAACUCAAUCAUGCCCGCCUAUUAACAAGUCAAAAGAAUAAAAAAAUUAAUCGCGUGGCUACUCUAAACAUAGGAUCCUAACACUAUUCAUGCUUAUUUACAAUCUUAGCAAAACAUUUUACAUCAUAUAAUCAGAAUUUUCGUAUACACCCAUUAAAAGUGCAGCUUCUUCGAAAAUAACUUUAUUUGGAGUCAUCCAAAUCAUGGUGGAAGGACGAUUUUGCGUCAGAUGAAGGUUUUAUAGAACGGAAAACUUUGUAAUUUACUGAAAAGAAAGUAAUAUCUUACUGAACUCUUGAAACUGUCCGAGCCAGAGCAGCUGACUUUUCCAGAAUCGCAAGACUGGAAAGAGCUUUUUGAAGAAACGAUCCGUAGACUUGGUUUGAGAAAUUCCUGUAACUCAUACUUCGACCUAAAGGGAUCAUAAUACGGCUUCUCAUGAUCAGUCACUUUCGACCGUGUGAACAAUAAAGUAAAUAAACAACAUACUGAUUAAAGUUUACCUGAUGAAACUCGCUCUUUCCUCAUGAGACGAAUCCGGAUUAGGUUUGGAACAUCCUUGUGGAAGAAACGCCUCGUAUAUUGCAUUAGCAUAAGAGUUUCCUCCGACUUCUACCAUAGCGUCGAUCUCAUCGUCCGUCCAUUCAUCUAAUGUCACCGAAAGAACCUGGAUGACCAUGGUCGAUGAAUAUCAUUAUUAAUGCUAUGCUACCCUUUUGACCUAUCAAUAUGUGCAGGGACGUAGCUAGUACUCAAUUCAUUGAAAGUUAAAUUUUUAUUUAAUGUGAAAACAAUAAAUUGAGAGGUGUAUUUUCUUUAAUAAUGACAAAACAAAAAAGAUAAAAAUCUAUUUAGAUGUAGACUUUAUAGCAAGUAAAGAAGCUAGCACUAUUGUUAAUGUGGGGUUAUGAGAUUUCGCCACACAAAAUGCCAAAUUAAGAUGGAACUGUGACCCCUCCCUUCGUCCUUGAAUAUAUUGUAGUAAUAAUGCACAAUUAAAAUUGAAAGAGGUGGACAAAAUUAUAAUUUAAGAUGAAUAUGUUAACGCAUAUAUAAUACCUUCGAUAUAUGCGUACCAAGACUCCUGUGCACGCCGCUGCAUUUUAAGCAUAUGAAUACCCCUAUGUUUGCCGACCUGCAAAUCCAAAUCAUUGAACCACUCAUGAGAUAAAAAUUGAAAAAGAGAAUUUGUAGUCCACCAAUUCUUCACAGACAAAUCUAAAGAAGCGGUAUAGUUGAUGUCACAAAUUGAUAAUGCUCUUCCUUCAUAUUCAUUUUGACCCUUAACGGCAUAUAUUUCUGAUCUGAUAUCUGAAGAAUGUUAUUAUGCGGCUCUUAAUCAUAUCAAUCAUCUCAAGUUCAUGAGUGGUUCUUUCUAAAAUCCUAUCCUGUGAGAAACUAGAUAAAAAAUCUCUACAAAUCACAAGAAUUAUUUUUGAUUACUGGUGAUUGACGAAAAGAACGAAUGACAAAGGUUAGGGCAAAAGGCACUUUGGGUCCUCAAACUAUGGUGACACUUCGGUCAUCAAACUUUAAUUCAUUACAAUUUCUGGCUUGAACUUUCUGAAUGUUGCAAUCAAGUCCCACAACCCAAUUUUUUUGGCUAAAAAUUGAUAAAUUACCAAAUGGAAGUAAUAUAGCAAUAUCGUAAUUGAUGAUGCAACAAUAAUUAAGAUGCUACAUCACUUCCACAUUAAUAAUUCAUCAAUAUUUACUCAAAAAAAAUUGGGUUGUAGGACUUAAUUGCAACAAUUCAGAAAGUUCGAGCCAGAAAUUGCAAAGAAUUCAAGUUUGAGGACUAAAGUGUCACUCGUCCCAUAGUUUGAGGGCCAAGAGUGAAAUUUACCCUCAACUACGCAAAUACUAUUCAUUUUCAAUGCUUUAGUACGACAUUACUUACUCAAACCCAUGCAAGUAGUCUGUAUUUACUCAAGUCUCGAUCUCAUCAAUCAUUACUCCUCUGUUCUUUAGAUCCGUUCUUUUCUUAGAUUAUUUUUAUUUUAAGUAAAUGAAGAUAGGAGGAAAAAAAAGUAUGUUUAUUACAAAAUUUAGAUAUGUUCGAGUUGCCAGUUUCUCGUACAAGUUAGAUGCACUUACGCCCAUUUAGGAUCUGGGGCGCUGCAAUCUGCACAAAUGCGGUUAUCGCUUUUAAGCAAUAAUUCCUUCAGCUUUUUCUUGCCUGUUAACAGAAUAAACAGUUUUAGUCUGAUUAUUGAACAAAAGUACAACAAAAAGUUCCGCAGAUAUUUUCAUCAGUGCCCAAGUAAUUAGAAAAAGUGUACAAAAUUUUCCCAAAAAUGAGUUUCACCAAAUCCCAAUAGCCUAACCCCUAAUCCCAUGCAAGUAUCGGCGACUCCAAAUUGUAUACAUAACUAAAGAUACAAACACCUUUUUAAAGUGCUUUGUUUCUGAUUAAUGUUAGCAAGAGUUAGCUCUCGAGUUCAAGUGAUCAAUUGUAGGUCAUAUUGCACACAGUUGAAUGAAGCGCAGUAAUCGUUUGGAAAUGAGAAAAUCAAGUAAUCAAACAAACAUAAGUAUCAUCCAUUAAAAACUGCACUUCGACAUUGUUUCUGUGUGCACCUUCUGAUACAUUUGAUGUUCUAAGCAGAUAUGGGUACAUGUUUACACCACGUUAUAUGACGCAAUGAUGCAACUCAACAAUGCCGAAAGAGUUUCGUUAAUCAAACCCAAUCCGAUUACGAUGUCGCGGGUGUUGAGUAGUCGCAUUUAUGCUAAAUAGCCACAGUUAUACAUGCAUACAUGCUUCGUUUGACGAAUAACUGCCUUGGAAAAGUUUGCAAUCUUCUUUACAAGCACAGAAUUUGUUUCGAAGUUCCUCAAAAUUGGCCCGUAGCUCAUUUAUGUCGCAUUUGCUCUUUAAGAACUAAACACCUGUUUGGCCGGACAUUCGUAAAAACUGCUUCACUUCAAGAAGCUGGCUAUUAGACAAACAAAGCGUAUGGAGCUUUUGCUGCGCUGGGAAGUUGAAAUGAGCUUUCGGAACCAAAAGCAUAUGCUCUAAUUAUGCGGCUUCAAUUCGCACUGCGGCGAGAAUUUUAGGGCGAUUACAGCUAUUAGUGCUUCUUCAAACAGCUCUGCCCAAAUAAACACGCUACGCAAGCUCCAAAUGGCUCAAACAAACCCUAUAUUUUAACAUACAACCCCCUUGAACUCUUUUUUUUUUUUGUUUUCCGAUUGAUAUCUCCUCAAAUUUUGUUUAUUUUGAUUGGAAUUAUUUUAGUUCAUUGGAUUGGGGAUUUCGUUAAAUUUAGCAGUACUUCCAUUAAAUCUAAAAUUGAAGAUCUCAUUAACAGUUAAUGGCCGAUAGCUAAUGAAGCUCUCAAUUCUAUGAACAAAAGUAACACAAAAAAAAUUGAGGGUGUUCUCAAUUAAAGAAAAGAAAUGAAUAAGGCCGAGGGAUCGACUUCAACAAAGGCUAAUGGUUUGCGAGUAUCGAAGUAAAAGAUGAGAAAAAUUUCCAAAUUUCGCACCUGACGACGGCUUCUCCUCGUCGUAUUUGAAACUACUCAUCUUGGCUUUCACAAAACUCGAUCGGUUUACGUCAGCUGAGCCUGCUAACAAGAUUACUGAACAAAAAUGUUAAUUUAAGAAAUAGAAACAAAAAUAAAAAAGGAAUUAGAAGCAUAAAAAUAAACUAUCUUUCGGAUUUCCAUCACAUACACUAUCCAACUUAAAAACUUGCUAAAUAAGUGCAACAAAAGCUUGUUUUAAAACUCGCUAAUUAAGCAGUUUCGUUUGAGUAACCUACACUUUUAGGAGGCACAAAUAAAUGGGGACAUGGCCCCCGAAACCACUCGAACUUCAAAAGCGCGAAUUUUGAUUCACCAUUCGAACUUUGAACACGACAUAAAGUGCGAAUUUGGAUCACCAUUCGAACUUCGAACAUGACAUAAACCCUCUUAAAAAAUUACGCAUUUCGCGACAUAAACAGCCUCAAAACAAAUUGUUGAGGUGGUUUUUGUUUUUUUUUUUUUCGGGUGGUGAUCUCAAAUUGUGAUAAAGUAUAUUAGGUUUUUUUCUUCUUUUUUUUUUGUUUUUGUUUUUUAGAGCAUAAUAACAAUAAAUCCUACACUAUUCAUACACUAUCUUAAAAAAGUGCAUUUUUUUACGAGUGGUAUAAAAAUUAAAGCAUUUCUUUUUAUUCCUUUUUAAAGAAACAAAACACUAGUUUAUACAUUCCCAAUACGUAAAAAAAUCACAAAUUUACAACAAAAAAUUGCAUAUAAAUCACUAAAAAUGGUGGGGGAAAAGAGGGAGUAGGAUCAAACUAUGCGAAAAUCUAAAUUACACCCAAUUUUGGUGGAAUCAAAAGAAAAUGUUGGAGAUUCGGGAAAUUUGGGGAAAAACCCAUAAAAAAAAAAGGAAUCAAAAUGGGAUCGAUAAUUGGGAAUAGGAUGAUUCGGUUGUAAUAAAAAUCCGAUCUCUUUGGGAAUAUAUUAAUGAUUGGAUCUUCUUACCUGGGAUUUUGUUCGAGAAAUUUAUCGUAUCGGAUUUGGGAGAAAGAUGCGAUUUUUUUUUUUUUUUUUCGAAUGAUUUGAUCCGAUCUUCGGAAAAGGCGUUUUUUUUUAAAAAAAAAAUGUGCGAAAUAGUUUCUUUGGUUUGGUGGAACAAUUGCAUGAAGACCCCUAACUUAUCAUAAAUUUGUAAGAACACUCUCCAUCGGAGGACUUUUUUAUAAAAUAACCUUCUAAAAUUUUAUUAUUUGCGAAAUAACCUUACCAAAAUUAUAUUUAAAAAACUAAUCUCUUAAAAACGGUGAAUGGUUCACCGCCUUUACCUUCUGAGAAAAGCGAUGAAUCAUUCAUCGCCUUUCAUUUGUUUAUUAUUUUUUUUUAUAAUUCUAACAACUAUAUAAAUAUUUCAACAAAUUACAUAUAAUCUUAACAAUCUAAAAAUUUUAAUAAUUUAUCCAUACAAUCCUAACAAUCGAUCCUAAUAAUCUAUCCAUACAAUCGUAAUAAUCAAAUAUCACAUAUAAUUUUAACAAUUUGAAAAUCCUAAUAAUAUAUCAAUAUAAUUCUAACAAUUAAAAUUUUUUUAAUAAUCUAUCCAUACAAUUCUAACAAUUAAACAAAAAUUCUAAUAUUUCACAAACAAUCCUAACAACCUCAUUUUUUUUAUUUUUCGUAUAAUUUACGUACAAUUUUAAUAACUUUAUUUUUUUCUCUUUUUCAAAAAAUUAUGAAAAAGACGGUGAAUGAUUCACCGCCUUUAAAAGACCUUAAAAAAAUUUCAGAAUGCGGUGAAUGAUUCACCGCAUUUCGAGAGUUAAUUUGCCAAAUAUAAAUUUGAAAGGGUUAUUUCACAAAUUAUAAAAUUUUGGAUGGUUAUUUUAUAAAAAAGUCCCCAUCAGAUAUGCUUAUAUUUUGGGAAAAUUUUAUAUAAUAUUUGGGUAAAAAGUUUUGAAUUUAUAGAUUUGCCCCUGUAAUAUUUUAAUUAUUUAAAUAUAUUCGUUUAAAGCUUUCAAAAUAUAUAAAUUCCUCUUUUUUUUACCAUUUGGACCGUUAUGCUCUUGAAAGAAAAUUAAAUUUUAAAAAACUAUAUAAAAAUUUAGAAUUUAUUUUAUAUAUAAAAUGGAACAAAAAUUAUAUUAAAGAUAUUAAAAAAUAAAAAAAUACCUAGUAAAUUAAUUUUUUUAAAAAAAAAUUAACUUACAUAAACCAAACUGGGAUUAAAGAAAUAAGAGUUAAUUUCAAACAAGUCCAUGCAAACAUAGUGAAUUGCAAAUACAUCCUUAUAGAGUUCAACUUUCAUAUAUUGUUUCUGCAAAAGUCUUGAUAUUUUCAAAUAUGUCCCUUCCGUUAAGAUUCGUUAGAAAAAAUUAGUUAACCAUAGGUAAAAUACUUAACCCUAAUUAGUUAAUCAGAUGAAUUGACCUUUUUACCCCUUUUCAAUUAACCGUUGAAACUUUUGGAGAGACAUGGCAAAAAGGUUAUUUCACUUAUAAAAUAAACAAUGGUUUAACAGUUACAGUAACAAACCAAGUAAACAUAUUUGAAGAUAUUAGAACUUUUGUAGGGACAAUAUAUGAAAAUUAAAGUUUGAAGCGAUAUAUUUGUAAUUCACUGUGUUCGCAGGUGUUGGGCAAACAAGCAAGUUGGGCAAUCCACGGGCUGAUCAUCAUAUAUAACAUAUACAAAAGGGUCGUUUGGGCAUAGAUAGAAUUUACCAACAAAUUUUUAGAGCUAGGCUCCUACGCUUUUCAAUGAUGAGGCAUCCAUAAUUAGAAUAGUAUAUUUCAUAUAUGAGAUAAUUUAUUUAAUUAUAAAUAAAGGGAUAAUUACCUAUAUACCUCUUAAAACUUCGGAAAUAUCUCAUUUACCUUUAUUUUUUUUUCUUUCCAAUAUACUCCUCAUAUGUUCCUCCGUUAUUUCAAAAUAUCCCUACAGUUACCAUCCGUUAAGUUAACUUGGGUUAAACGUGAGUUAAAUAUCUACCACAGUUAAAAAAAAUUAAAAUGCCAAUUUUUUCCUUAACUUAAGAGCAAAUAAGAAAUAUUGGUGACAUUAGAAGGGUAUAUUUUAAAAGACCAAAAGUCAAAAUAUUUUUUGUGCUUUUGAUUUAAGGGGAAAUAAGAAAAGUCGGUAAUGGUGGAAGGGCAUAUUUGAAAGGGCAAAAUAGUAAUUUUAUACAGCUAGCAGAGUUCAUUAACAGAUUUUAACUCUAUGGAUAUAUUUGAAUAGGUUGAAACAUAAAAAAAAAAGGUAUUUUCAAUAUUAGUCUUUUAAAAGGGGUAAAUUAGAAAGUCAUAAAUUUUUCAGGAAUAUAUAAGCAAUUGCCCCAUAAAUAAAUAAAUAAAUAAUUGGAAUUGACCGACUAAGAUAUUCAUACAUUCUCCUUCCAAUUCCGGAUAGCAUUAUCAAACACUCAUUUUAUAGACAACCCCCUAAACUUCAGAAGGAUUUGAAAUUGACCUUUGAACUACUUUUUAUUUAAUUUACACCUACUAAACUUUAGCCCGAUUAGGGAUGCAAAUGGAUACAGGUACCCAAAAUUUUAUCCGAAUUCGAACCAGAAGGAGCGAAUUUAUCCGAUGCUAAAUGGAUAUAGUUUUGAAUAUGGCUAUAAAAAAUAAAAACCCGAUGGAUAUAGAUUCAGAUAUGAAUUUUGACGGUACCCGACCCAAACGAGAACCCGACCCAAUCCCGCAUUUAUUUUACAUUAUAUAUAAUAUGUAUAUAAAAAUUUAAUGUUAUAUUUAAAAUUGUAUUUUAAAAUUUUAAAUUUAAUGUAAUACAUUUGGAAAUAUUGAGAAGAGAAAUAAUUAUUUCGGAUUUAGGUUUAGGUCUGGAUUUUGAAUUUUUGGUCGAGUUCGGGUUUGGAUAUGAAUUUUUAAAGUCUGGGUUCGGGUUCUGGGUUUGGAAUCGGGUUCGGGUUUUUGAAAAUCCACCUUGAAUCCGACCCGCUGACAUCCAUAAGCCCGAUUGGAAAUUGACCCCAUAACUAUUUUUUAAUUUAAUUUACGCCCCCUACUUACUAAAAGUUUGAUUCAAGCUCUUCCCUUGAUAAUUUUGAAAAUUCUAUUAGAAUUUUUAAAAAAACCUAUAAAAUGCACAGCGAGUAAAAUACAUUUGCAGCUUAAUAUUGAUCAGCAUAUUUUUAAUUAUAAUACAAUAAACAAAUAAAAAAAACCCAAUAAAAUAGAAAAUAAAAUACAUUAGAAUUUUAGCAAAAAUCACAUUUUACAAAUCAAUCACCCUCCCUCCCUCCCUCUAAAAUAAUGCACUUAUUUUUCAGCUUAUCCCAAAAAAAAAGUCAAAUAAAAUAAUAAACCCCAAAAUUGCUAAUUUAAUAAGUAGAGGGAGUGCAAAUCAAAUUAAAAAAAGGGUAUAAAUCAAAUAAAAGAAAGUUUAGGGGCAAAUUUCAAAUCAGGCUAAAGUUCAGGGAGUGUCUAUACAUUUUAACCUGGAGACAAAUAGUGUUAGAUAACAUGCAUAAAAAGAAUACUAAUUUUACAUAUGCAUACAUACACACAUUAAGAUUCUACCUCAUACAUUUUGAAGAGAGAAAUUUUGUGGUAUCUAGGACCAAAAAAAAAGAAAAAAAAAAGGCGAAAUCACGCACUCUCGAUGAGGGGACAACAUAAUGAUCAAUGGUUAAUUAGAAUUUUAUCAUGUUAAUAUACUGAGAAGUGAACUUCUGAUAGCAGCAAAAAUCUGCAGCUUUUCGUCGGUUCUCAAUUGCUUUCGAAACCGAAUAUCCGGAAUACACCUGCAUGCGAAAAAACCAAUGUUAUUACCGCUGUUACUAUCGAAGAACACAAGAGUACAAACACAAGUCGAUUUGUUCAAGAUUUAGUUUUUAAAACAAGAAGAAAAAUUCCGAACAUGAGACUUAAAAUGAGGGUGGAAUUCAAUUGCAGUGAAGUUUUUAAGUUUCUCGGAAGUCGACUUCUCAUUUGGUUAUUUGUUUUGAUGAAUUAGUUCAUUUUGGUUCGGUUCGGUUCGAUUUUCCAAUUAAUUUUUAGAUUUUCUUUUCUUUUUAUGAAUUAAUUUAUAAUUUAGAAUUCUAAUUGAAUCAUUAUGGAAAUCACACAAAAAAAUUUAAUUCUAAGUAUAGAAUUUUGAAAAAUAUGCUGAUAUAUGAUCAUGAUUUGAUCAUAAAUAUAAAAUUUUAAUAAAUAGUUUAGGAGUCUGGCUGGGAUGCUAUCGAUAGCACGAAGUAUUUGGUGCUAUCAAGUUUUCUACCGUUAGAUUUACCUCUUUUAUCAUUUUCAUCCGUUCGAUUAUACUAUACAACCAACCACCCACUCAACCCUAAGAGACCCACAUCAUCCUAACCACACAUCUUUUAAUCCAAGAGCAGAAAACUUAAUAGCACCAAGUCAUUGGUGCGAUUAAUAGUAUUCCAGCCUAGUUCAAUAGUUUAGAUAAAAAGCGUAAAAAAAUUAGUAUUUGGUUUUGGUAUGGUUCGGUUAAGAAAUGUGUUCAAACCGAACCGGAACCGAAAACCAAAUUUUAGUAAAUUUCAAAACCAAACUAAUUCAUUUUGGUUCAGUUUUGCAAUUAAUUUUUAGAUUUUCUUUUCUUUUUAUGAAUUAAUUUAUAGUUCAACAUUCAAAUUGAAUCAUUAUGGAAAUCACACACAAAAAAAUUGAUUAUAAAUUAUAAUUUUUUAAAAAGUGUUGAUAUAUGAUCAUGAUUUGAUCAUAAAUAUAAAACUUUAAUAAAUAGUUCAGAUAAAAAGCGUAAAAAAUAUUACUAUUUGGUUUUCCGUUCGUUCAGUUAAGGAAUGUGUUCAAACUGAACCGAAACCAAAAACCAAAUUUCAGUAAAUUUGAAAACCAAACUGAACCGAAAACCGUAUAAAUCGAACCAAAUAAUCUUAUUUGGUUCGGUUCGGUUUGGAACCAAACUGUGUACACCCCGAAUUGUACUACAAGUAGCUUUUUGACAUUGUUAGUAUUUGUUUGGCCUAUUUGUUUUAUCAUAAAUCACCUAAUCCUAAUGUUUGCCAAUAAAUUACAUAAAUUUUGGGCAAAAAAUGUUAGAUAAACAAAUUUUUAAUAACUUCUAUGGGAGGUAAAGUGCGGAGGAAGACAACUAUGGACCUAAUAAAGCAAAGUCGAGUGCAGGAGAAGUGAGGAGAAGCUGUAACUGCAGUUACAGCACUUUCUCACACUUACGCCAAAACAAGCAUACAAAGAUGUCACUUAACGUGGAAACUACACUUCUCCCCACUCACUCGCUCCAAUCCGAAGGUGCCCUAACAGGUCCUUCAGCGUUUGUUUUGUAUAUUUCAGCCAUUCAAUUAACAUGUUUGUGUGAUAUGAAAAAUUCCCUCCAGGGUAGGUCAGAAAUGCAAACAAACUUUUUAACUACUACGAUGGAAUACGAUGAUACUUGAUCGAGCAAUUUAACUUUCCUCAUGGAAACCACGAAGAUCAGAUAAAACCAGAUGAUUUUUUUAAAAAAAAUAAAAAAUAAAAAAUACAUUUUCCAAGGGGUUUAACUGAAAACAGAGAAAAAGAACUCAAUUCUGGGACACUUAACAUUAACCAACUGUAGCAGGCAUAAUACUCGUGUAUUUUUCACCUAAAUUUACUGAGGGCUGUAGAAAUAAGAGGGUUUUUUGCGUUUAUAACCCUGAAAAUAUGCCACCCUUGCAAAGUUAGUUUGCAUGCGUAGCCCUUGAAAACCCCCAUUUACUCAGGAUCAUGUCUUGUAGGGGAAGAUGCAAUUUUGCAUAUUUAUAGGGGUAUGAAUGCGACAAGCCCAAAAAGGAAAAAAAUGGUUAGUCAAGAGUACCUUCGUCGGCCUGGUAUUUGUUCUUGUCAUCUCCAGCGUAAGCUAGAAGAUUGUACUUAGGGUUCCACUCCACACUAUUCAUCGCCGCCUUACUUGGUAUUUGGUGAACUGAUCGUCCGGUUUGAACAUUGGCCUAUAUAUAUAGUUCGAUAAAUGACCAAGGCAUUAUUAAAAAAAAAAAAAAAAAAAAUCUAAAUUUCUGAUAAUGUUAUCGCGUGGCAAAUGGUUCUUUGACAUAUACGUACUAUGUCAAUAACAGGAUCUUCACUCGCUGAAGCAAUGUAUUCUCCAGUAUAGUUGAAACUUACAGUUCUUACCGGCCACCUGAAAUGUAAUUUAUUUGAGCUUUUGUCGAGGACUAAAACCAUAUUUUCACAGGUCAGAGAAAAUGGGUUGCAAUAUUGUGCCGAAAUAAAUAUGUGUUUUUCAAUCUAGAGAGGUUAUGAAUAAGAGAGGAAAAAAACAGAGAAGAAUUGAGAAAAACAGACUAAAUUGCCGGAAUCUACAACGAGUAUCACAAUUUUCACUUCCCCGCGGAAAUUUUGAGAAAAACAUGCUGCUUCCUUAAACUACAAGAUUUUGUAACCAUGACAUCCAUAGUGAGGUUUCCUGAUGUUUAUCAGCCAGGAAAAAGGAAUUUAACAAACCAAAUUUUCUUGCAUCAAAAGCCGAUAGGAUUCUGUUCUUGCUAACGUCGUCGGUGUAAAAACUAAAAAGCUUACUCGAGUUUGGUGAAUGUUUUGAUGCACAACAUCUCUUUGACAUUCCAGAGGCUGACGAGUGAGUCUGCACUUCCAACAGCAAAAUACCUGCCAAAUUUCGAGUAAUUUGCAAAGGAGUUCAAACAUCCGAGCUUUCAUCUGUUUUAUGCUCCAAAAAUUGCAGAAAACACAAAUUUCAAAACGUAGAAGCAACCAAUACAGCAUUAGACUGUGCUGAAAGAGAAACUUCAUUAAAGUGCUCGGCAAUCACAGGCUGUGAUGCAUCAUUUAGAUCUCAAAAAAAAAAAAGAAGAAGCUUCAGCUGGACUGCACAAUGAAAGUAACAUAAAGGGAUGAUAGUAUCGCCAGUUUGUCACCAAAUCCAACAAAACUUAAUAUUAGAGUUGGCCACAUCUCGAGAAAAGCAACAGAGAAUGAUUUCAACUGAUUAUUUUUUUAUCAUCAAUGCUGGAGCUUUUCUAAAUUACAAUAUUUUAAAAAAAAUUAAAAAAAGCAAGGAAGAAGUGCAGAAGAUUCAAGUAAGCGAACAUAUGCAAUGAUAGUAUUAGUACACCUAGGAUAAUUUGGUUCACAAGUAAAUUACGAGAGAACGAAUUUUUGUAGCAAUAUUGCAGAAUAACGAAGAACAAAAUCAAUACUAUGUUUUUUAGCUUGAUACCAUAGGGAAAGCUAUGAUAAUGACAAAAACUAACUGUAACAAUGACGAUAACUUUAAUAGUUGCCGUAUAACAGCGGAUAAAGUGCGGGGCAACACUAUUAGAGGGGAAAGCUGGGAUUGUUGUCCGCACGCUAUUCUAAAAUAACGACUUUGAUCAGAAUCACUAUUCCUUAUUAUUAUUUGUUGCAUUGUUAAGAACAGUAACAAUUAUAAAUAAAAAUUAAAAAAAAUUGUAUCACCUUCCUAGAGGAUCCAUUGCUAUACAGUAGCAACCUGCUGUAUGAGCCAUUAAAUUAUGGCGCAACUUGAGGGAUGGAUAUGCGAGCACCUCAACAGUACCUACAUAAAUAGCAAAACAACAUCAAAAGACUCAAAAUCAGUUUGAAGCUGCAUAAAUGAGUAUCAAAUUAUAUUGAAGAACAAAUCCUAGUACUGUGUUGGGGAUUAUUCUGAUGAAACAUACUUGAGCUACACUAUGAAGCAAAAUAGGUAGAUCGAAGAUGAUUCUUACCGUUCCCUGUAGUAAUGAAAAAUAGGUCUCCAGUUUUAUUCCAUGCUAUCUCAUUUAUCUGAAAAAAGCUAAAUUCAAGAUAUAAUGCGUCCAUGAGAAUUUCAUUCUAAAAUGGAAAGUCAAAUUGAAAAUUACCUCAUAAUUGAACUUGAGCCUGUGAAUAGGUUUAAACUUCCUAACAUCCAGUAUUGUUAAUUCAUCCUCCUGCACAUAAAAGAGAAAAGAAGAAGAAGAAAAAAAAAAAUAUCAAAAGAACAUUCAUAAUCAACCGAUAGAGGAAUACAAUAAUGUUGAUAAAAAAUCAAUUUUAGUUUGGAUGUUAUUUUUCGAACACCCGAUAUAUUAGAAAUAACUGUUUUUGAUAGUUAGUCAUUCGCCAUUCCUUUUGAUUUUCCAUCCUAAUUCUUUCGGCACACUUCGUAAAUACACUUCUCAUUCUUUCUCCCCUUUAAUUUCUCGAUUGUACAACAUGGAAGAAUAUUACAAGAUUUGGUACGAGUUCUUUAGAAAGUUGUUUUUAGCAUACCUUAUUACCAACGGCAAUAUUAGUACCAUCGUGCUUGUAUGUGAUAUUGAUAUUUUCUCCACUAAGUUCAACAUUUUGGGAACAUUUUCCACCUAGGAAAACCAACAGAUUAGUAUGUACAGAAGUUUUGGCAACAUGAAAAUAGUAGGGAUUCCAGUGCUUUUAGCCUUGCUGCAGAUGAUUUAAACAGCGAGUUCAGUCUCAAGAAAGAAAGAAAUAAACACUUAUAUUUCAGCCGUUACUACCGUAUUUCGAAAAAAAUUAAAUCAUGAUACUACGUAAUGCUUGAAGAGUUUAUUAAGGUAAGAGAAGAUGACUAGAAAUGUAAUAGAAAGUUACAGCUGCAGAAAAAUAAAAAAGUUGACAUCGCACACAUCCAUUUAUAAAUCUGAGCUUGCACAAUAAGAAUGGAUGUACUUACUACGAGCAUCCCAAAGCCGAACGGUCUUGUCCCCUGCUGCAGUAGCAACUAAAUCGGGGUGCUUCGGGUCCCAACAUAGCUGGUCUACACUGUCCGUAUGACCUUUCAAUUCUAUGUCUUUGACCUUACCCUGCACAAAAAUCAAUUCGACCACAAUGCAUGUAUGUGAUCUUUCCAUUCAGGAACCUAAAGCAUUUUAGCCCUGGUUGAAGCUUCUGCAAAGGGUUUGUUUAGGUGGAGCUAUUCGAACAAGCAUUAUAGCUUUUUCGUUAGUCCCCUCAACAAUUUCAUUCUACAGAAAAACGGUAGCUUAAUAUUGAAGUUUCUGCUUUUCAGGGCCAAAAACUCAUUUUGGCUUUUCGCUAUGGCAAAAUUCCAGACAUCAUUCUUUAUGAAACACCAGGUUUCUAGUAGCUUCUAGUUUCUAGAGUUGACAAGCUCUUCCAGAAGCUGGUCAAUCGGGCACUUAUUGAAGAAAACCACUUGCCUAAGAUUUUGCAAAAACUCUUAAGUCAAUUAUAACUAUAAAAGAUAAACAAAGGUUGGAAAGCCUUCAGCUAGGGAGCUCAUAUUGAGCAUGCCAGACCCCAUUCAUCAGCGACAGCGCCUUCAAGCCGUUUCCCAAUAACAGAGGGUUUUCUAGACUUAAAAAUUCAAUUGAGAAAGCUUCAAUACAAAAUGUAUAUAACUUUUCUGGACAGCACUGUUACUGCAACGUUCGAUGUUGGGAUUGCAAACAUCAACUGGUGAACAUAUUUGUGAAUAAUGACACACCAACUAUAGGCCAGUGAAAAAAAUAAGUCUAUAACGAUCUGUAUUCACAUUAUUUCAACAGAUUAAUUUCUUUCCUUCUAAAAAGUAAGGAUUUAAGUGCCGUGGAACGGGGUUUUCGAAAACUUGCCGGCACGGUAUGACAAAGUGCAUGCAAUGUCGUGCCAAAGAGUGCCGGUCAUAAAAAAUACUUAUGUACCGACACACAAUGGCAUAAAAUAUAUUUUCUUUAGCACCAAUAUGUUCUAUUUGCUUACUAUAUAUCUUUUUCAAAUCUUUUGCACUUUAUUGAGAUAACUACUUGGUAAUUUCAAAAAAGAAGAAGAGGGUUUUGAGUAGUGUCACCGGCACGGGACCUAUAUCAUGUUGAUAUCUUGUCGGCACAUUACGGCAUGGUGAGCACAGCGGAUGCCGAUGGACACUUAAAUCCUUACUUAAAAGAUCUUUUAGAGUAGGACAUUAAACUAGAUUAUCAAGGAGGUGAAUACUAGAUUGCAAACAGAGAAUCAAGUAAUGCUCUCCUAUACUGAUAUACAGAAGCCCAAAUCAUUCUUUCUUUCUUACAUAUGUUAGAUGAGUUUAGAUGGUUCCGAACCUCAUUUCCAUGUCCUUCUUAGAAAAAACACAAAUAACUUAGCAUAACUGAAAACAACAGGAUAACCAAACCAACAGGUUGGUUCAAUCUAACACUUCCAAUGUCUCCUUGCAACACCUUCUCUAUAGAAAAAGAAAGAAAACAAUGGAAUCACAUUUUCUUACUUUAAAUAGUAUUUAUAUCUUCUCAUCAUGCUAUAUGGGUUUAGAAACUUCUACACCUACAGCCGAUUUCGAUCCCAAUUUCUAAAACCACAACUAAAUUUCUAUGAGGCAUUUCGUCGAGUAAUGUAACUGCAGUAUCAGAUGACCCAACAUGCCAAUUACACAUCUAAACUAGAGGACUAAAAGCAACAAAAAGUCGCAUUUUUUAAACCAAAUUCCAGCUUUUUCUCCCCCAGAAUAGUAACAUUAAAACAAAAUUAAUUAGAAAAAUUAUAAAGAGGGAGAGGAGAUUACAUACAUGGCCAUGUGGGUCGAUGUUCCAAAUGCGCGCCGUGUGAUCAACGGAGCCCGAAGCAAGCUUCGUCCCCAAGCAAUUCCACGCCACAGAGUGCACCUUACAACAAUAACAAAAUACAACAUUAAGCACCAAAAACCCUAAAAACCCAUUGUAGGGCACCAAACAUCAAACCCCAGAGUGAUAAAAUUCCGAAAAAGGGACGAAAUCCCAUUUAAAUUCGAACUAUUUGGAGCAAGAAAACGAUAGAAAGAUUCGAUUUUCCUCUUUCUUUAUAGAAUUUUUAUUUUUUUUUUUUCACCUUUUUCUUGUGCCCCUGGUACUCGCGGGAGACGAGGGUUUUGAAGUUGAUGGGCUUCUCCUCCAUGAGUGUCGCUUUGCCGAUGGAAUCGAAGGGUAAAGAAGAAGAAGAAGCGACCGAGCGAUCUUACGCCGCCAUUGUUGAUUUGGAAAAACCUUCGCGCGAUCGCACUCGGUGGAGGUGGUAGAGCACGGGGAGGAGGAGGAGGAAGAAGAAGUAGCGGUAUAUUUUCGACUUAGUCCCUGUAAUGCUUGCCUAAACAAUUUAGUCCAAUUUUCUUUCCAACACUUUACAUUUAGUCCCUAACCAGUUUUUUAAUAUGUGAUUCAUUUUCUAGGGCCACGUAAAUUCUUAAAUAUUCUGAUAUAGUUCAAUUAUAGUCUAUUUGAGUCAACGUAAAAUUUUUUUUCUAAAAAUUUUACGUUGACCCAAAUAAUUUUUUAUCAAUAUUUAUUUAGUUGAAAAAAUAUACAUUUAUUUACUUUAGUGGAAAAAAAUAAAUAAAAAAAUUUUACGCACCUUGAGUUUUUAUUUUUAUCAAAAAAUGGCAAAAAACGAAACUUAAAUUUUUUUUUCCCAAAUUCAUAAAAAUAUUUUUAUGUCGAACUAAAUAAAUGAAAAAAAUAUUUUUCAUAUCCAAAUAAUUUUUCGGUUCGCUCCCCCUUAGGUGAUUCUUUUAAUUUGUAUAAAUAUAGUUGAGCCAGAAUGCUAUCAGUAGCAAACGGACUUUAUUGCCACCUAUUUAUUAUUGAUAAUGGAGCCUCCAAAUCAACGAUCGGUACUUUUGAAUAUGAUCUACACUGCUUGAAAUAUUUAGAAACUAAAAUUUAAAUCUUUUAUUAUUGGCAUAAUGAUCAAAGGGUUUCAAAAUUUAUAAUUUUGAUGGUAAAUAUGAGACGCUUUCUCAUUUAACAGUAUAAAGAUAUUCAAGUUAAUUGAAUUUUGGAUACAAAAUUUUUUAAACUAUUUAAAACAAAAUCUAUACUAUUGAUCUUUAUUAUAAGAUUCGUAUCAUCACUUUUUAAAGAAUAUUCAUUUUCGGCAGUUUAUUUUUAUGUCCACUUGAUGGACAAAAAAAAAAUUUCAUAAAAGCAUAAAAUUUGAUUUUUAGAUGCUUCAAAAGUGGUGUAGAACAUGUUCAACAGUACUAAUCGUCGAUUUGGAGGCUCUAUUAUUAAAAAUAAAUGGGAUGGAAACGAAGCUCGUAUGUUAGUAGUAUUCCUGCUCAGCUCUGUAUAAAUAUAUCAUUACCUAAUAAUUUAUCUUUUCGAAGUUUUGCGGCCAAAUUUACUGUAAGGUACCGGACUUCUAAAAUCAUGAAGUUACGGUGUAUAUUUGGUUGGAGAGCCAUUUGAAAGGUCCCGGUGAAGUUCGGUGAAGUUCGGGAGCAUUCGGGCGAUUUGGUGCGCGUAGGCGCGAAGACGGAACCCGAAAGGCUAUGUUGGGCCAUGAGUUAAAUCCGGCAUUAGCGUGGAUGAAAAGAUGAAGAAAACAUGCUCGAAAACAUGUUUGGAGAGUCUCGGUUCGAUUUGAAAUGAAUCGGAGGUCAAACGGGCGAAAACGGACCCCGAAAGCUGAAAAAGCUGAAAAUUUGGCUAAGUCUGGAAUGCUGUUUUUCUGGACAUUCGGGGACCGGUCCCUCAAGUCCAGAGACCGGUCCCAGCACCCGAAAAUGGCCCAGUUUGGGCUGUGUGUGACUUAUAUUGUUGAUGGACCUUUGUGCAAUUGUGCCAAGGGUAUAGAGAGGGUUGGGAGCUCAUUUUUCUCUUUUCUCCCUCACAUUUUGUAACCUAAACUCUCCCUCUCUCUCUCUAGAAAGGAAAGAAAGAGAAAAAGAAGAAGAGGAAAGUGAAGGAGAAGGUGGAGGAGAAGGCUUGGAGAAGGAGUUCUACUUCUUCUUCCUCCUCUUUGGGCCAUUGGAGAGCUUUUGGAGGUAAGCUUGCUACCCCUUUAAUGGUAGAUCUUUAAUGGUUGGUCUAAAUACCUUAUAAAUGGUAUUUUUGGAAUCCUAGGAUGCUAAUUAGAUAGAUUAUGCUUAAAUCCAAGGCUAGAGUGAUGGAUUUUUACCUAUAGUUGAAACCUAGGGUUCCAAAAUGGGGUUUUGGGAAAUCUAGGGUUUUGAUCUAAUUUGAUGGGUCGCAAACCUAAUUGCUAGGUCUCUGAACGCGUCGGCGAAGACGGUUCGUCAAUUUGUCGAGCGGGUGCAAAGAUAUUGAAGAAAAGGCUUGUUGAGGUACAGAUUGCCGCAGCUCGCGGCGAAAGCUUCCUAAAAUCGCGAAAUCGGAAUCGUGGGCUCGUGGCAUCACCUAAAGGUGGGGGAGUGCCAUCCCGAAGCAGUCGAACUGCUCUUUAUAUCUGAGUUCUAUUGUCGAUCAAUUACAUAUUGUAAUGUUGCAUUGUAGGGUGCUAAAUGUAAUUGUUACAUGUUCUUGCAUGCUAGUAGAAUAAUGUAGAGUUAAUUUGUCUAAUACUUGAAUCUAGUAUGCUUAAUAUAGUGUCAAGUGACUUGAGACCCUAUAAUGAAAAGAUAGUUGAUAAGGAAGGAAUAUGUUUAUGUGGAUAUGAACCUAGGAAAAUGAUAACCUAGGGAGUUAGUGCUAAGAGUGUAUAAAGAACACUUAGAUGAUAACGAGUGGCAUCUAGUCAACAUUGAAUACAAGAACGAGUGGCAUUGAUGAACUUAGAGUGUAGAUGAAAACUCUCAUUGCAUGUUGAACUUAGAAGUGAACUAGUUCCCAAGUGUGGUUGUCUAGAGUGUAGGGUAUCCUCAAUGAUGGGGGAUAUGAUCAUACUCAUAUGUCUGUUCGAAGCUUGGAGUGGUCGCUCCACACAAGCAGUGUACUCCGGAGUUGUCACACGAUAGGGAUAACCUUUUUGGGUCCCGAGGGGUUAGCCUUUUUGGGCCCCGCAGACAGUCUUGGGCGAGUGAGCUGAUCCUCCCCAUGUGAGUCAGGUGAGUGAGCUGAUCCUCACCUGUGAGAUUUAGAUUGGGUUGUGGCAUUUGUGUGAGUCGGGCGAGUGAGCGGAUCCUCCCCGAAGUGUUUAGAGAGUGAGUCGGGCGAGUGAGCGGAUCCUCCCCGGUAUGAUAGAUUGUGAGUCGGGCGAGUGAGCGGAUCCUCCCCGGUAUGAUAGAUUGUGAGUUGGGUGAGUGAGCGGAUCCUCACCUGUGUGAUUAAGUAAGUAUGGCAUUUCAUUAUUGUUGAAGCAUCAUGUAGUAGAAUUGUAGUUAUUUACUAUGAUUAAAGUUUAUGCAUGCAUUAUUGCAGAUUGAGGCAUAGUUAGAUGUUCAUUUUAUACUCCUAACUGUUUAUUAUAAAUGCUUUCAAUUCAGCACAACUAUCUAUCUAUUUGCAUUAUCUCUCUAUGCCUGCUUAGACCUAGUGGGGAGAUCGGCGGAGUCGGCGGCCGAACCCACUGGGAACUAUUCGUAGUUCUCACCCCGUGUGGUUUUGGGGUACAGGUCCGAGUACUAGCGCGCCGGUCGAGGAUCGCGGUAAGGGCUUGGCGCCCUAGGCAUUUGGUAGCUUACUUUCCUAUGCAUUAGUAGUACCCUAUUUCUAUUUUGAGAGUAGAUGAUGUAUAGGGUGUGAGGUAUUUUGGAUGAUGUAAACUCAAUGUUUAAUAUUUUGGAAGUUUAAAUGUAAGUUAAUCAAAUGUAUUAUGGUAUGGAUGUAAUAGAUUAGUAUCUCUCUCUUUUAUUCACUUGUAUGUUGGUUACUUGUGAUGCUUGCUCUUGUUUGUUUUGCACUGUUUGUGCUCUCGCUAUCAUUGUAUGAUCUUGUAUGUAAACGAGUGUAUUUCCUGGGAACUUGUGUACAUGAUCUCGUCGCUUGAGCCUUGGGUGGACAGGGGAGACUCUGUCCGUUCGGCGUCCGUUCGCCGCGCCCGAACCGGACCAAAUUGGUAGCGGGCUCGGGGCGCGGGGCGUGACAGUUGUGGUAUCAGAGCGAGUAAGAGCAAGCAAAAGAGAGAGUCUAGGAUGGACCUAGGAGACCCUAGGACGGUGAGCCUUAAGGUUAUAGGUGCGCAAGUGCGACGUGAACCUAUGACGCGGCGGAAGUUGAUCGAUUGGGUCGAUGUUGGUGUUGAUACUCUAGUAAUUGCUAGAGAUGAUUCAGGUAGUACUAUUUCUUGGUUCAAGGUGGUUGUGUUGGCGGCCGACAACACGAUGCCGAGAGUCAAGAGCUAGUCUGCUUGUGAACUUCCGCCUGAUUAAUGUUGUUGAGUUAUUUGGUCUCGUAGUUGCGACGAUGUUGUUGGGUUAAGUAAUUAACCAAGAUGUUUGCGUUUCAGGAGCCUAUGGCACCGAGGAGACGCUACGCUCGUGGGACUGCUCCGACACCACUUCCAGAGGUGCCAGAGUCAGCCGUGCCUCCAGUGGCGCCAGAGUCGGCUGGGCCUGGUGAGGUGCAGGAGUUGCGGGCGCAGGUGACCGCACUAGCCGGUCAGGUUGGGCGGCUCCAGGACCUGAUGGAGCGGCAGAUGGCAACGGUUGCUGCGAUGGCGGCUGCAGGUCGUGACCCGCCUGCCCCCUCGGUUCGUGCCCCUAAUGCGGCUGAGGGUGAGGGUGUUCCGGUGGCGCCAGUGGCGGCGCAACCCCCGCUGGUGGAUAUUCCUCCGGCUGCGUCGAGUUCUCCUACGCCUGCGGCAGCGGCUGAGGAGGCUGAGCGAGAGCGCGGUUACACGGCUCUCACAAGAUUUACGAAGUUCCACCCGCCUACGUUCGAUGGAGAAGUGAUAGACCCUUGGACGGUGGAGACAUGGUUGGCCUCGAUGGAGACCCUGUUCGAGGACAUCUAUACGGAGGAGCGGGACAGGGUGAAUUUGGCCGCUCAUUGCUUUGAUAAGCGGGCAAGGGUGUGGUGGAAGAGAGUAAAGCAAGAUCGAUCUUCGGAUCUUCCCCCGAUCAAUUGGGAGGAGUUCCGAAGGAUGAUGUUCGCAGAGUACUUUCCCGACAGUGAUAAGAGAAAGAUGCGGGAAGACUUUCGAAAGCUCAAGCAAGGCAACCGCACGGUUCGGGAGUACGAGCGCGAGUUCACCCAUAUCUUGAACUGCGUCCCAGACGUGUCGACGACGGAGCAAGACCGGGCGGAUUGCUUCGUGAGAGGACUCCGACCCGGAGUGUUUCGAUUGGUACAUGCCUUCAAGUUCCACACUUUUGCGGAGGCUUUGGACCGUGCCUUGUGGGUUGAGCACGGGAAUGCUUGCGAGCGAGAAGAGCGCGAGGCAUCCGAGAAGGACAAAGGGAGAAAGCGACGGGGCGGUGGUUUUGGAGAUCAAUCGGGUUCCAAGAAGCCCCCGAAGUACCCGCGAGAACGGUCCGAGGGCCGUGAAGUGCAACGGUGCGUCUUUUGUGGUGGAGACCACCGUGCGACGCAAUGUGAGCACCGCCGUGGGAGGUGCUAUGAAUGCGGCCAGGUGGGGCACAUGGCCCGAGAUUGCCCGAGAAAGGCCCCGUUCGCCCUGCCUGUCGCAUCGGCUCCGGCAAUUCCAGGCCAUUAUGGAGGAGCCCCACCUAUGGUUGCAUCGACUGGGCGUGCUUUGGCGCCACGUCAGCCGGAAGCGGCCCGAUCAGCUCCAAGUGGCCGGGUGUAUGCUGCUCAAGUUGAGGAGCCUGCUGUUGCGGAUGAUGUCAUGGCAGGUAUGGUUUAGUUGAACCGAGUUCGUAUCUCUGCAUGAUAUUAAAUAUGUGCGUUGCAUGCAUUGAAGUUGUGGCCGUAUGCUACUAUUUAUUCCUGAGCAUAGUAGUGACCAGAGUGUGGGUCGGUGUAGUUACCCUAAUGUGCAAUAGGAGUGCCAUAGUAACCCAACCCAAUGAAGUGUAGCGGUUGGUUGUCUUAGUUGCUCCUGGUUGGAGUGUGUGCGAAUUCCAAAGUGAGAAUUUCGCCCCGUUAUGAUUGAGUCGACGCUUGCGAGCGAGAGGCAUUACGGGUGUUGAGAUGGCUAGGCUAUAGGCCUACGUAGUAAUUGUGACCGUUGGUCCAAUUGUGGAAGCCGACGUAAUCAGUUUAACCAAUAACUCUGUGGAGGAGUUGGUGUAAGGAGGUAAAUUUUCGAAAUACGGGAAUUAAACUUCGCUCAAAAUUGACUAGUUGUCAAGUGGGGUUGCUUCGGGAAAGCCGAAGAAGUCAAAUGCACCAGAAGUGCAUUGCAACGAGUCCGCGAGAGCAAGUUAUGCAAAAAUCUACACUUGGCAGAAAUUGCUCUCGGGGACCGGUCCCUGGCAGGGAGAGACCGGUCCCACUGACUGGUGGUUGCGGCGACGCGCGAGGCAACCGGUCCCUGGACCAGGGAGACCGGUUCCCGAACGUGUGAAUUGGAGAAGGUCCUCUGGGACCGGUCCCUGGCAGGGAGAGACCGGUCCCCGAGUAUGAAUUUGCCCAGGCAGGCUGGGUCAUGUUGGAGAAGUUGGAGAACUUGAGAAUAUUGCUCUCUUGAGGGUUAGCAUUAGAGAUGUGCCAAAGUGUGCCAUCUCGCAAUAGAACAAGGGUGCCACCUCGCAAUAGAGCAAAGAUCCGGAUGUGAUGGUAGCACUCGCGGUUGAUCGAUGCACCAAUAAAAUUGCCUUUAGGCAAUCCGGUGAUCGAACCGGAGAGGAUUUCCCGAUUGGGCGUGUAAUGCAAGGAGUAGUUCCUUGCAUGGUAGUAAUGCACUUUUGGAGUUGCGCAUGGCGAAUGUGAGUGAAUUUGGUCUCAUAUUCUCCGUAGUGAGCCUUUGGAGAGUUCCGAUAAGUGAAAGACCACUCCGAGAUGCAAAAGUGCAUUGGAAACCUCGAUUACUCAAUAAGUUGAGUUGAGGUGUGUGUUAGAUUUGAAGUGAGAUAGUUUCGAGGACGAAACUCUUUUAAGGAGGGGAGAAUGUAAGGUACCGGACUUCUAAAAUCAUGAAGUUACGGUGUACAUUUGGUUGGAGAGCCAUUUGAAAGGUUCCGGUGAAGUUCGGUGAAGUUCGGGAGCAUUCGGGCGAUUCGGUGCGCGUAGGCGCGAAAACGGAACCCGAAAGGCUAUGUUGGGCCAUGAGUUAAAUCCGGCAUUAGCGUGGAUGAAAAGAUGAUGAAAAUAUGCUCGAAAACAUGUUUGGAGAGUCUCGGUUCGAUUUGAAACGAAUCGGAGGUCAAACGGGCGAAAACGGAGCGAAAACGGACCCCGAAAGCUGAAAAAGCUGAAAAUUUGGCUAAGUCUGGAAUGCUGUUUUUUCUGGACCUUCGGGGACCGGUCUCUCACUGCCUGGGACCGGUCCCAGCACCCGAAAAUGGCCCAGUUUGGGCUGUUUGUGACUUAUAUUGUUGAGGGACCUUUGUGCAAUUGUGCCAAGGGUAUAGAGGUGUGUUGGAGCUCAUUUUUCUCUCUUCUCCCUCACAUUUUGUAACCUAAACUCUCCCUCUCUCUCUCUAGAAAGGAAAGAAAGAGAAGAAGAAGAAGAGGAAAGUGAAGGAGAAGGUGGAGGAGAAGGCUUGGAGAAGGAGUUCUACUUCUUCUUCCUCCUCUUUGGGCCAUUGGAGAGCUUUUGGAGGUAAGCUUGCUACCCCUUUAAUGGUAGAUCUUAAAUGGUUGGUCUAAAUGUCUUAUAAAUGGUAUUUUUGGAAUCCUAGGAUGCUAAUUAGAUGGAUUAUGCUUAAAUCCAAGGCUAGAGUGAUGGAUUUUUACCUAGUUGAAACCUAGGGCUCCAAAAUGGGGUUUUGGGAAAUCUAGGGUUUUGAUCUAAUUUGAUGGGUCGCAAACCUAAUUGCUAGGUCUCUGAACGCGUCGGCGAAGACGGUUCGUCAAUUCGUCGAGCGAGUGCAAAGAUAUUGAAGAGAAGGCUUGUUGAGGUACAGAUUGCCGCAGCUCGCGGCGAAAGCAUCCUAAAAUCGCGAAAUCGGAAUCGUGGGCUCGUGGCAUCACCUAAAGGUGGGGGAGUGCCAUCCCGAAGCAGUCGGGCUGCCUUUUAUGUCUGAGUUCUAUUGUCGAUCAAUUACAUAUUGUAAUGUUGCAUUGUAGGGUGCUAAAUGUAAUUGUUACAUGUCCUUGCAUGCUAGUAGAAUAAUGUAGAGUUAAUUUGUCUAAUACUUGAAUCUAGUAUGCUUAAUAUAGUGUCAAGUGACUUGAGACCCUAUAAUGAAAAGAUAGUUGAUAAGGAAGGAAUAUGUUUAUGUGGAUAUGAACCUAGGAAAACGAUAACCUAGGGAGUUAGUGCUAAGAGUGUAUAAAGAACACUUAGAUGAUAACGAGUGGCAUCUAAUCAACAUUGAAUAUAAGAACGAGUGGCAUUAAUGAACUUAUAGUGUAGAUGAAAACUCUCAUUGCAUGUUGAACUUAGAAGUGAACUAGUUCCUAAGUGUGGUUGUCUAGAGAGUAGGGUAUCCUCAAUGAUGGGGGAUAUGAUCAUACUCAUAUGUCUGUUCAAAGCUUGGUGUGGUCGCUCCACACAAGCAGUGCACUCCGGAGUCGUCACAUGAUAGGGAUAGCCGUUUGGGUCCCGCAGACAGUCUUGGGCGAGUGAGCUGAUCCUCCCCAGGUGAGUCGGGUGAGUGAGCUGAUCCUCACCUAUGAGUUGAGAUUGGGUUGUCGUACCUAUGUCGAGAGUCGGGCGAGUGAGCGGAUCCUCCCCGUUGUGUUUAGAUUGUGAGUCGGGCGAGUGAGCGGAUCCUCCCCGAAGUGUCUAGAGAGUGAGUCGGGCGAGUGAGCGGAUCCACCCCGGUAUGAUAGAUUGUGAGUUGGGUGAGUGAGCAGAUCCUCACCUGUGUGAUUAAGUAUGUAUGUCAUUUCAUUAUUGUUGAAGCAUUAUGUAGUAGAAUUGUAGUUAUUUACUAUGAUUAAAGUUUAUGCAUGCAUUAUUGCAGAUUGAGGCAUAGUUAGAUGUUCAUUUUAUACUCCUAGCUAUUUAUUAUAAAUGCUUUCAAUUCAGCACAACUAUCUAUCUAUUUGCAUUAUCUCUCUAUGCCUGCUUAGACCUAGUGGGGAGAUCGGCGGAGUCGGCGGCCGAACCCACUGGGAACUAUUCGUAGUUCUCACCCCGUGUGGUUUUGGGGUACAGGUCCGAGUACUAGCGCGCCGGUCGAGGAUCGCGGUAAGGGCUUGGCGCCCUAGGCAUUUGGUAGCUUACUUUCCUAUGCAUUAGUAGUACCCUAUUUCUAUUUUGAGAGUAGAUGAUGUAUAGGGUGUGAGGUGUUUUGGAUGAUGUAAACUUAAUGUUUAAUAUUUGGAAGUUAAAUGUAAUCAAAUGUAUUAAGUUGAAUGGAUGUAAUAGAUUAGUAUCUCUCUUUUAUUCACUUGUUAUUACUCGUGAUGCUUGCUCUUGUUUGUUUAGCACUGUUUGUGCUCUCGCUAUCAUUGUAUGAUCAUGUAUGUAAACGAGUGUAUUUCCUGGGAACUUGUGUACAUGAUCUCGUCGCUUGAGCCUUGGGUGGACAGGGGAGACUCUGUCCGUUCGGCGUCCGUUUGCCGCGCCCGAACCGGACCAAAUUGGUAGCGGGCUCGGGGCGCGGGGCGUGACAUUUACAGUUAUCUCAUAAUAUAAAUCUAACUGAGACAAAUAAAAUGCAAGCUUAAAAAUUUCUCCUAGUUUUAUUCUAAAGUUUAACUCAAAUAUUAGGUAGGGAGGUCGAUGGACAUGGACACCUAAAAUUUUAUCCGAAUCCGAAUCUGAACGGAGCGAAUUUAUUCGAUACUAAACAGAUAUAGUUUCAAAUAGCGAUAUCAAAAAUAAAAACCCGGCGGAUAUGGAUUCGAAUAUGGAUUUUGACCUGACCCGAAUCCAAACCUGAUCGGAACCAGACCCGAACCCGAAUUUAUUUAUAUUAUAUGUAAUAUGUAUAUAAAUAUUUGAUGUUAUAUCUGAAUUUGUAUUUUAAAAAUUUAGAUUUAAUGUAAUAUAUUUUGAAAUAUUGAAAAGAAAAAUAACCGUUUCAGGUUUGGAUUUUCAGGUUCGAGUUUGGACUUCGGAUUUUUGGUCGGGCUCGGAUUUGGAUAUAAGUUUUUAAAAUCCGUUGGGUUCAGGUUCUGGUUCGAGUUUUGGGUUUGGAGUCGGGUUCGGAUUUUUGAAAAUCCACCCCGAAUACAACCGUUAAGUUAGAUAAAAUUUGGGUAAAUUUUUUUUUUAUAUUAAUAUCUUUGAUAUAAAGUUGUAUCAUCAUUUUAUAUGAGAUUUUUAUUUUCAGGUCUUUGAUUUUGAGUCAUCUCGAUUACUAAAAUACAUGAUAUUGAAAAUUUAAAAGUUCUAUGCUUUGAAUACUCUAAAUAAUUUAGAUCAAGUCUAGUGAAGUCAAUCAUCGAAUCGAAAAUUCUAUCAUCGAAAAUAAUUAAGAAGCACGAGUCCCUUUUUUGCUACUACAAAUACAUAGUAACUAGACUCUCUCUCUCUAUCUCUCUCUUGAAUAUCUACUGGCUUCAACGUUGCAUCAGAUGAUGGAGCAUCUAAAUCGACAAUAUCCAUCGUUAAAUAUAAUGUGACUUUAAAACUUCUUAGAAAUUGCAUUUUGUGAUAUUUUAAUAUUAUUUAUAUAUUAUUAAAUUGGUAUCAAAUUUAAUAAAUUCAAAGGCAUAUAUAAAAUAUAGUUAAUUUUAGUUUUUGAGCAUAAACGAUUCACUAGUUUUUAUAGGUUCAGUCCGAAUUUUCCUAAUGAUCAAAAUACUUUUAUUUUGUCUCUUCUUGCUCUUUUUCUCCUCCGGUUUUUUUCACUCCUCUUCUACCGCCCUACGUCGCCACUGCGCUCCUCCUUACCUUGCAUACGAGCGAAAGGGCAAUAACAAAACUUGACUUGUUCGUAGCUGUAGUUGUGGGCAUUGUCUGUUCUCUUCGAUAAGGUCGCCGCGGUAAAAAUGAAGGUAGCAUUACUUGGAGUGUUGCCAGAGAUGGAGACGGAGGUGGCGGAGGAGGAAGGCGAUAAUAGCCGGUCGAAGGAUGCUCUGAAGCAGGUUCGCGAGUGUGGCCACGACGGUUAAGUGGUGGCAGUAGUGAGAGUAAAAAAAAAAAUCUGGCGAACAACACAAUAUUGCAUUAUUUUUAAAAAAUUAUACUAUUUGAAACAUAUGUCGUACUAUCAAAUUAUAAAAUAGUACAACUUUCUUGCAAAAUAAUGCAUUAUAUAUAUAUAUAUAUAUAUAUAUAUAUAUAUAUAUAUAUAUAUAUAUAUAUAUUGAAACAUUAUAACUUUUAUAAAUAGUGCAAUAUUACGUCGUCUACCAUUUUUUUUUUCCUCUGAUCACUACUACCACUUCCACCUCGACGCCUCGGCCACACUCACCACAAACAUGCUUCGGAAGCAUUCUCAACCAACGAUUGUCGCCUUCCUCCUAUGCCACCUUUGUCUUCGUCUAUGGUGAUACACUAAGCAGCCAUGAUGAUGAGCAGCUCAAGUUCAUCAUAUUCCUUUCGCUCGUGAGGUGUUCACAACACAGAUACGACAGAGAAGUUAGUGUAGAAGUGGCAAAGGUAGGAUAAGCGCUCGAGACUGCUGCCGAAAGUGGGGGGAAUUGCAGCAUAAAGCGAUCUCUGUAAACAUAUUGAAUAGCAGAUAUAUUCCUAGAAAUUAAGUUUAAGUUUUUAUUUUUAUCCCUACAAAAGUUCUAAUAUUUUCAAAUACCUCUGCUGCUAGGAUCCGACUAUAAGUAAAAUACUUAACUCUAAUUACUAAAUGAGUUAUAUUGAUAUUUUUAUCCCUCUUAUAUUAUUAAAAAAAAUAUUUUUUGAGAAGGAUAUUUUUGUAUAAUUUUAACAUGCAGUUGGAGCUUUUAAAGGAAUAUAUUUAUAAGGGUAAAACUAUUAUUUCACUUAUCUACUGUUAAAAAAUAAAUAGUGUUCUAACGAUAAAAAACCAAAUUGAUAAAUAUGAAUAUCACUGAACUUUUGUAGAGAUAAAAAUAAAAAGUUGAAUUUUAUAGCGAUAUAUUUGCUAUUCGAUAUGUUUAGUCGAAACGGUAUGUAAUUAAUUUUUUUUUUUAAUAAAAAGUCUAUAAAACUAUUUGAUUACUAUCUAAAUAAUAUAAAAAUUAAUAAAAUUUUAAUUUUUAAAUAUUCAUAAAUAUAAAUAAUAUUUAACGGUUUAGAUUCACCCAAAAAAAGGCGCGAAGCUACCAUGGCACGUGCAAAGGUGUCGCUAUCGCGUAGUACGCGAAUCGCGCCAAUUUUUGCAUGGUGGGGACCACACGCCCACGUGGAUCCAUCUCGAGGAGAUCGCACCUCCACCGUCAACCAUCUGACACGUGGAUCCAUCACGAGGAGAUCGCACCUCCACCGUCCACCAUCUGGCACGCGGAUCCCACCACCCCAAAAGAAACAAAUUAUAAUAAUAAAUAUAUAUAUAUAAUAAUAAUAAGCUCUAGAGAACGAGAAUUAUUUCCUACACCGGGUGUACAAAAACACCUUCCUGGAGCCCACAUCUAUAAAAAAAAUUUAUGGUAGAGGUCUCAAAAUCAAAUACAACACUAAAAUUAUUAUAUGAAAUUAGAAAUACGACGUAAUUGUAAUAGUUAUUAAAAUUUGUAUAUUUUUUUUGUUUGAUUAAGGUUGUGUUUAUUUGUGUUAAACUCUGUAAAUUUUAAGCGCUAAUUAAUUAUCUAAUAAAAGUAUGUGCUGAGAGGAAGGGCGCACCUAUCGCACUUUAGUGCAUAGCUACAACGCUCAUGAAGACCCAACUUAAUCAAGUUAGAUCUAUUGGUGGGUUUCUUAUCGUUAAGUUUAUUGCUGAUCGCAGCUCUGUCCCACUUAAUUUAUUGGACUCAUUUAAAUCAGUUUACUAGUCUUCUCGGCCUAUUGUCGGUUGUCACGGGAUAAAAGAUUGCAUUUGUUUUAGCUAAUAAUAAAUAACUAAGAAACUCGAGCGUCCGAAGUAGAUCUCAGGCAGGACUAACGAGUUACGUUAUUCAGAUCUCAUGGAACUUGUGAGAUUUAACCAAAAUGUGGUUAAUUUUCAUAGUUUUAACUUUGUUUGAUAUUGAUACGAAGUUACUGAGUUUAAGAAAACUCCGACUAUAUGAAAUCAGUGUCUCUGUAUUUCUCCAUUUCUUUAUUCACAAGCACGCCCUUAAUGUAAAUGCAGUUAGAAAUAGUAUUAAUUAAUUUUAUUAUUUCGUAUAUAGAGUAACAAAAUUAUUUCUGAGGUAAAAAGAAAAAAAAAUUCAUUGUAAUAGAUAAUUAGAUACGCCAAUUUAUAAACUGUUUAAAAUUACUCUUUCUAAAUUCUAUUAUUGGAACUACAACUAAUUUAUGCACAAUUUCAUCUGCUGUAGUUUCAACUGCAGUAGUGGGGCGCUGAUGCAGCAACUCAAAUAAAAAAUUGACUACGUUAUAAUUAGAUUUAUAAUGCAGUAGUUUCAAUAUACAACCCCAUAAUCCAUCAAUCUAAUUUAUUAAAUAUAAUUUAUGAUAUUUAAAAUAUUUUUAUUAUAAAAAAGUAAAUUUGAAUACUAAUUUUUUAUAAAUUAAAUAAUAGAUUUUUGUCUACCAUUAAAUUUUUUUUUUGUUUGAACUGUUUCAUGUCUAAUUUAUUCAAAAUUAAAAAUGCAUAGAUUUUAAAUUAUAUUUUAUAGAAUUAAAAUUUAAUUUUUAAACAAUUAAUUUAUUAAAAAUCAGGUGAGGUAUGUAAAAUAUAUGUAUACACUCGGUGCACCAUAACUUUUUCUAACGAGCUCACUCAAUCAUCAUCAUAUUCAUGUGACUGCACAUAAAGGGUUGGUCUCAAAUUUUUAGUAUAUUGGUAUAUAUAGGUAUAUUCCCAAUUUUAAUAGUUUAUUAUUAUUAUUAUUUAUUCCUAUGAAUUGUGAAUUUCCUAAUAUGCCCCUCAUUUUCUACCUUAUUUACUUCAUAAACUUAAGUUAUUUUCUAGAUUAUUCUAAUUAAUUAUUUCUAAGGGGAAAAAUUACAAACAAUAACCAUUCAAAUAAUUUGCUGAGAUCACAUAAUUUGCUGUCUAAUAUACAAUCAAUUCAAAUCCUAAAACAGCAUGAAUGGUUGAUCAUGUGUUUUUAGUUUGAAACUGUCGCCAAUUAAUUCUAAUUCUUUCUAAUAUAAUUGCUUUAAUCUUAAAUAUGAGAUAUAUUAAGGCCGUACAAAUGCAUGACAGUAAUUUUUCAUCAACUGAUAAAUAAGUUUUUAACAAAAUUAUAUUCGCACUCAUUUUUUUUUUUGAUAGGAAUUCGAAUGCGGAUAUAUGUCAGAUUUAGAUAUAUAUAUCAGCCCUUAAAUUUUCGUUAUUAUAUCAGUUAAAAAUGGAUUCGAUUUAGAUAUGAAUCGAAUUCGUAUUCCAAAAUUAUUCAGAUAAUAAUUAAUAAUACAUCCUAAUAUGCAUAUAUAAAUAUAAAUUAAAAUUAGAGCUAAUAAGACACACAAUAUUAUAUAUAAUUAAAGGGUUACACCCGUAUUUAAAAUUUUGUAUACCUAUAUGUUAUUCAAUAAAAUUUAAUAUUUUAACAAAUAUAAAUGUGAAUAAUAUUAAUAUGAAAUUUGUAGUAAAAUAAAUGAAGAAUAAGAUAGAAAAAUACUUUAUCUUCCUGCUGUUGGGAAUCCGGUACUCGCCCCGGUACCGGAUCUCGUGAAUCCGCAACCCACUCCGAUACCGACUGCUGUGGAUUCGGUACCGAUUGUUGGGAUUUCUCAACGGAAACGUCAAAUCGGGUUUUUACCAUAAACCCGUCUUCUCAGCAAAAGCUGAUACAAUCAUAAAAGAGAAAAAUAUGCAGGUAAAAUAAGAUUCAUUAAAUAAGAGAAGAUUACACCUGACUCCUCUUCUGCACAUAGUAGCUACAACCCGAGCCCUCUUUCUGAAUCUCUUCUACUCUUCUCUUGUCUUCUAUAAAAUCCACAAAAAAGACCUCUCCACGUGCACCCGUGUACAAAGUGCACUAAAAUAACUCUCUCUCUCUUUUUCUCUCUCUGGUACGACACCCCAAUGAUUCCAGCCGUACUACUUCCAAAAAAGAGAGCCACAAUGCCUAUUUAUAAUGCUCAACUUAAAACGUACUCCAAUCCUAAUAUAUUAGGAUUCAUACUUUAAUUAAUAUCUAAAUCUAUCUUAAUCAAUCUCUAAUAGAUUUAAAUAUUAAUCCUAAUCUAGUUAGGUUUAUCCUCUAAUUAAUAUUUAAAUCUUAAUUUAUCUCAAACAGAUUUAAAUAUUAAUUCUUAUCCAAAUAGGAUUUAACUACAAAUCUAACCAAAUUCUAACACCUGCAAUAUAUAUUAACAUCUCCCUAUCAAAUAUAUUUCUUAGAGAUAAAAACGAUCGAAUAUAAUCGGUUUUUUUAAGAAUUAUAUUCAUAUUCUUUUUUUUUUUAAAAAAAUUUGAAUAAAAUUUGAAUACAAAUAUGUGUGAAAUGAUAAAUUUUAACAUCCAUACUCAUAUCCUAUCGAAUUCGACAUUAGAUUUGAUCACCAUACGAUUUAAAAAGUUUUAUUUUACUCUUUUAUUAUCUUUUUUACUUUACCAUAAAUACCUAUAAUUAAAUAGAACAAUAAAAUAAUAUGUAUUUUACAAAAUUUAGAUAAAUGCAAAUUAUAAACUGAUAAAGUGCUACAUUUGUUAUUCUAUAGUUUAUAAAAUUUUAUUAACCAUAACUAUAUUCAAUAAUUCUUAAAAAGUUUUGGACCUGUUUGAUAUUAUGGCAAAGUAGAGUGUCCAAAUUAGAAAGAAAAUUUUAUACGAGUAGAUAAUUGGAACAGUGAGGUUAAAAUGGACCAGAAAAUUUUUAUAAUUUAAAAUUAAAUAAUUUAGUUUUCUAUUUUUAUUUAUUUAUUUAUUUGGCGCAAAAUCCCACUCCUCGGAUCGCGAUAUUUUAUAGGAAAAACUUCAAAAACCCCCCUGUAGUUUUGCAUUUCUCACUUUCUUACUUUAUGGUUUAAAGUGUAUCACUUUUCUAUGUGAUUUUAUUUUUAUCUCUUCGGCAGUUUUUUUUUUAAUAUUUCAUUAAAUUAUAUAUAAAAAAUUUUGAAUAUUCACUUAGAUUUAUCGAAUAUUUACUUUAAUACUCUUUAUUUUUAACUUUGUCACUGAUUUAAGAAAACAAAUAAUAAAAUUGAUAAUUAAAAGAGAAAAACAAAACGACAUAUGGGGCAAAUUAAUACACUUUAAACUAUAGUACUAAAAUUAGAAAGUAAGAAACUACAGGGGUGUUUUUGAAGUUAUCCCUAUUUUAUAUAACGAACCAAAACCACGUACACAAACGAGUGGCCUCUCUCUCUCUCUCUCUCUCUCUCCACUUUCUCUCUCUAGGAGCUCCGAGCUCACUCCAAUGGCGAUCGCCGUGGCGCGCGUUUGGGCCCCCAAAACCCUAAUCCCCCCCUCCAUCUCCUCGUCGUCGUCGUCGUCCGAUCGGAGGAGCCCUAGGGGGUGUCUCCUCGCCUCCUCCCACCACGUCGCCGGGGAGAAGCUUCUCCACCCCCGCCGCCGCCGCAGCGGCUCCUCCGCCGCCGCCGCGCCCGUCGUCGUCUCCCCCAGGGCCGUCUCCGACUCCCGCAGCUCCCAAACCUGCCUCGAUCCCGACGCGAGUCGGGUGAGUUCGAUCCCGUUCCCCAAAUCUUUAUCUCAGCGUUUUUCCCCCGAAAUUUUGGCGAUUUCUAUGUGAUCUUCAUGCGCGUGGUGGGGUUUUCCUGCAAAGGGUUCAAUGUCGGGGUUAAAUAUUCGAUCGUUGUGGAUUUUGUUAUCUAGAGAUGAUGAAUUAAUGGGGUAUUUGGGGAGAUUGAUCUCAGUGAUCACUAGAUAUUAUCAUUAUUAUUAUUAAUCAUAAUUUUUUUUUGAUUGCCAUGAUUAAUGCUGGAGAUUGUUCAAGGUAAAGAUCCUGUCCUGGUUCUUUUUAAUCAUGCUAUGAGUAGGGUUUGAUGUGGGGUUUAAUUUGCUAUUUAUGAAAUAAUAAUUUAAUCAAAAGAGUUGGGUCACUGCAUCUUUGUGAUCCUGUAAUAUUAUUAUUUUUUAUUUGAAUUACCUCAUGCGCAUUUUUGUAAAGGAAAUGAUAGAAUGUCCUAAAAAGAUGAUAAAUAAACAAAUAAAUUAAACCCAAUUUGUGAUAUAAUAAAGUACAUAUUUUUCGGUACCAUAAGCUACUAGUACUAGAUUUGAUUCUGUAUAAAUUAAUUCAUGCAAAAUCCCUGUUUUGGCUAGUUACUGUAUCAUCUAUGCAUUGCUUUUCUCUCUCUAUAUAUAUUGCUUCUCUUAUCAGAGUGAUCAUUAAUGUAGAUAGAUAUAUUUCAAUUUUGUAUCUAACUUCGAUUUUAGCUAAUUGUUAUUUUUCUCAUUGUAGAGUGUUUUAGGCAUCAUUCUCGGGGGCGGAGCGGGUACUCGGCUGUACCCGCUAACGAAGAAGAGGGCGAAACCGGCGGUUCCUCUCGGAGCCAACUAUAGAUUGAUAGACAUUCCUGUGAGCAAUUGCUUGAACAGCAAUAUUUCGAAGAUUUACGUUCUGACCCAAUUCAACUCGGCGUCCCUCAACCGCCACCUCUCGCGGGCUUAUGGGAGCAACAUGGGCGGAUACAAGAACGAAGGGUUUGUCGAAGUUCUUGCUGCGCAGCAGAGUCCGGAAAAUCCCAACUGGUUUCAGGUAUUACGCCAUAAAUGAGAAAUUCUUGUGCCAAAUCAAACUCAGCGGAUUAGAUUACAAGUGAGAAAUGCCAUGUUUUUUUAACUCUAAAUUAAGCUUAGUGGGCAAAGUUGCAACUUGCAAUCACGAAAAGAUUACCGGCUAUUCCACGAUUUUUACCCUUUUUUAUAUCCUGGAGUAUUUGAAAUUCCAAUAAUGAUACUCAUUGUGACAACUGAUAUUUGAUAAACACAUUUUAUCGAAUUGUUGAUUCUCAAUAACUGUAGUGUUAAUUCCUUUGGAAUUUGCGAGAUUAGUGGUUAAUUUGUUGUUGUUUUCAGGGUACUGCUGAUGCUGUGAGACAAUAUCUGUGGCUCUUCGAGGAGCACAAUAUCAUGGAAUUCCUGGUUCUCGCUGGAGAUCACUUGUACCGUAUGGACUACGAGAAGUUCAUUCAAGCACAUAGAGAAACAAACGCAGAUAUUACUGUGGCUGCGUUGCCAAUGGAUGAAAAACGCGCGACUGCUUUUGGCCUGAUGAAGAUUGACGAAGAAGGACGCAUCAUCGAAUUCGCGGAGAAGCCGAAAGGAGAGCAGCUGAAGGCGAUGAAGGCACAGAAUUCUACUGCUUUUCAUUGAGCUCUGACGAAUUCAUUGAUAAGCGAUGGAUCCUGAUGCUUUCAUUUGUGUUGUUGCUUUGAAAUAAUCUCGCAGGUUGAUACCACCAUACUAGGACUUGAUGACGAGAGGGCGAAAGAGAUGCCCUUCAUUGCCAGCAUGGGUAUUUACGUGUUCAGCAAAGAUGUCAUGCUGCAGUUACUCCGUGAAAAGUUUCCUGGAUCCAAUGACUUUGGAAGUGAGGUUAUUCCCGGUGCAACAAGCAUCGGAAUGAGGGUACGUAUGUAUUUCUAUCGCUUCUCUCAACAUUUGUGUACUUUUGUGGGUCUUCUAACAUACCGAACAUGAAAAUACGUUAUCAGGUGCAAGCUUACUUGUACGAUGGUUACUGGGAAGACAUUGGAACGAUCGAGGCAUUCUACAAUGCUAAUCUAGGGAUAACUAAAAAGCCAAUUCCCGACUUCAGGUAUCUUGUUAGAAUGCCAUGUGCAUUUUCUUGUAAAACGUCAUUCUACGCAAGCAAGUUUGCUUCUCUGACAUAGAUUUUAAUUUCUAUCCGCAGCUUCUAUGAUCGCUCAGCUCCGAUCUACACGCAGCCGCGAUACUUACCGCCUUCGAAAAUGCUCGAUGCCGAUGUCACCGACAGUGUUAUCGGCGAGGGAUGCGUUAUCAAAGUACGUCGGCAUCCGAUACUGCUUUCCUUGUAGUUCUCCUCUAUAAAUUCUACAUGGUCAAUGAGUUUUCGAUUCAUGUAUCUUCGAAUCCUUUCGUCGGCAACAUUGUUGUUGCCUACUCUUUUCCUUAUUUUUUAUUUUCCGUUACUCUCUCGGUGCAGAAUUGCAAGAUUCACCACUCGGUCGUCGGGCUCCGAUCCUGUAUCUCCGAAGGCGCAAUAAUCGAAGACUCGUUGCUCAUGGGAGCUGACUACUACGAGGUAAUUGUACAGUUUCGAAACAAAUAAAAAACCAUCACUCUAAACAGUAUCGAAAGAAUAAACGAUAAAUAAAGUUUUGUGUGCUUAUCCACCUAUUUUCGUUGCCAGACGGAUGCUGAUAAGAGGUUCCUCUCUGCAAAAGGUAGCGUGCCGAUAGGCAUUGGAAAGAACUCUCACAUCAAGCGAGCUAUUAUCGAUAAGAAUGCCCGCAUCGGAGAGAAUGUCAAGGUAAUCUCCGCUUCUGAUACUGUUCCAAUCUGCUAUUUUAAACAUCUGUAGUUCUCUUAAGCAGAGAAAUUCGUCUUCUUUCUUUUUGUUUUAUAUUCUUUUGCUCAAUUUUCGACUAAAAACUUCAAUUAAUGAAGGGUACAAAUGGACUGAGAUCUCCUCAACUACGGGCCAUUCCGAAGAAUACGAUCUUCAACUAAUUUUCCUUUUCUGCAGUUCUAUUAGCGAAAAAGUGUAAAGAAUAGUUACAUUUAAUAAAUUCACCGUUAAUUUACCAAAAUUCGCAAUUUAGUCGAUGAAAAAAGACGAAUUGAAAGAAACUCAAAAUGGCCUACAAUUGAUGGGAUCCCUAUACAUUGUUACCGUAACGAGAUUACAUAUAUGGUUAUAACCGAGCUACAAGUGGCGUCAUGAGUACAUCAAAAAGGCGUCGAUAAUGUCUCGUGUUGUCCUCCUAAUUCUCGGUCGCGGUUUCAACUUCUUUCAGAUCAUCAACGGCGACAGCGUGCAAGAAGCGGCGAGGGAGACGGACGGCUACUUCAUCAAAAGCGGCAUCGUGACGGUGAUCAAGGACGCCCUCAUCCCCAGCGGAACCGUCAUAUAAAGAUGCUCGGCUCGGCUUCGAUAUCGCGUAUGCACUUCUCUCCUAGUGUCAUCUCUGGCUUUACCGUCUCAUCUUUCCUACUUGCGUAAAUUGUUAUGAGUAUUCUAGUGUUAUAUUCUAGUGUUAUGGUACGUCGGUAGAACGAAGAACAUAUUAAUGGCUUUAUUUUUUUAUUUUUUGUAUAAAGGAAGCUUUUUUUUUUCGCCGCGGAACUAGAAAAUAAAUGCCUGUUUAUCUUGGCAUAUCGAAAUUUAGAAUAAAAAAACAAAACUCUGUGAUAUUAUGAUAGGCAAUUUAAAUGACCAUGAUGAUGUAUCCUGGGAUAAAUCUCUUGCAAAUUCUAUUAUCAUGUGAAGUUUCUAAUAAAUGUUUCUGUGUGGAAGAUGAAAAUGUUACUUCUCAUUUAAGUGAAUUUUUUCUUUUUUUUUUAGUUGGAAAAUUUUGUACAUUUCUUUUUGAUUUGCUGUUACAUUUAAUGAUAAUUUUAGGACCCAAAAUAUAGUGGUAUAAAAUGACAUGUAGCCACAAAUUUUUCGUGGGGUUUUUUUUAAAAUUUUUUGUUGUUUUUAUAACAAAUAUGUUAGUUGAUUCUGUUUGGUUCAUUCAAUUUGGAUUGAAUAUUUUUUUUUAAUUUUAAUCAAUAGGUAAUUAGUGGUUAAAUAAACUCCGCAAAUUAUUUAAUCGUUACUUUAGGCUAGUGUAUUGUAUAUCAAGUUACAAAAAAAAAAAAAAAAAAAAAAAAAAAAAAACAUUAAUUCGGGCUAUUGGGUUUUUUUUUUUUUCAAUUGUCAAUUCGAUCCGAAUUAUUUUUAGAAAAAAAGAAAAGAGAAUCGGAUCCACCAAAAUGAUUCGCUUUGAUUUUGUAAUUUGGUUUGUACGGAAUAGUGCUUAUUUAUUUAUUUAUUCAUUAUUAUUUUUCUGUUGUCAUAUAUUGCACACCACAUAUUCGGUUAAUUCUUUUUUCUUUUUUUUUUUUCCGAUUGAUUUGUGAUUUGGAUAUUUCUAUACCUUUCACGCACCUCCGCUAUUAAAAUUAUUAUUUUUGAGCUCAUUCGACCGCUAGAUAAAUAAUAUUAAAAAAUUAAAAAAAUUAUUUUUUUUAGAUAUUUUAAAUAUUUUAAAUCAAGUCUAACUGAGCAGACCGUCGAUUCGGAAGUCUCAGCAUCGAAAACGAUGCUCUUUCGAUCACCAGAUAAAUAAUAUUAAAAAAAUUAAAAAAUUAUUUUUGAGAUAUUUUAAAUAUUUUAGAUCACGUCUAACUGAGCAGACCGUUGAUUCGAAAGUCUCAGCAUUGAAAACGAUUUGAUAACAUGAAUACUAACAUGCUUCUAAAAGCACACAAGACGAACUCAUAUAAUAAUAUAAUUUACAAAAUAGCAUAUCGUUAGUUGGAAUUUGGGUAUUAUACUAUUAAUAGUACCGAGUCAUUAGUGCUAUUAAAUUUUCGGCCUUUGGAUAAAGUGAUGUGUGGUUAGGAUGAUACUGAUUUUCUAGGAUUGGUUGAAUAAUAUGAUUUAACAUGUAGAAAUGGUCAAAGGUGUAGAUCUAACGGUGAAAAAUUUGAUAGCUCCAAACGCUUGGUGCUGAUGCUGGUGCUGGUGCUACUGAUAGUAUAAAGCUGGAUUGUCGACAAAGUGAAAAUACGUUAAACCACAAAAAGAGGUUAAAUUGUUGAUUUUGCCGAAAGAUUAAAAAAAAAAAAACAAGCUAAAUUAAUUUAAAUUUUUUGCACUUAAAUCCUUUUAUUAGUAUGCAAAAUAAUUUAUUUGUGCACAAUAGUGGGAGGGUUUCCUGCUGGGGUAGGUGGACCUGGUCCACUGCGAAGUUCUCUUCUGUGCAACCCAAAUUCAAAGUACAUUUUUCCACCUGCAAAAAGAAAAAAAAAAAAGAAAAAAAAAUCAAAAUUAAAAAUUUUAAAAUUUGAUCAAUUUGAAAUGCAAGUUUCAAUUUUUGUAUUGCUUGUUUUUAGGUAACUUAAUUUAUUGCCAGAAAUUUCGUACAAUUUAGUGUGCUAUGAAAACAAAAAGAGAGAAUAAUGUGCUCCUUUAUUUUUCACAUCUUUUUUGGGAUAAUAUUUAAUAUGUCCUUCGAAACUUUAAAAACAAAAGAAGUAUUUUGAUUUUUUUUUUUUUUGUUUCAAAUAUACUUCUCGUAUAGUUCUCCAUUAUUCAAAAAUACUCUCGCUGUUAGUACUCAUUAAGUUAUCUCGGGUUAAAUUCAGAUUAAAUUUCUACCUGGGUAAAAAAAAAAAAUCAAAAUACUUCUUUUGCCUAAGGGCAAAUAAGAAAAGCUGGUAAUGAUAUAAGUGUAUAUUUAAAAAGACAAAGAAUUAAAAUACUUUUUUUGCCCUUGUAUUAAGGAGCAAGUAAGAAAAAUAGGUGACGGUAAAAGAAAAUAUUUGAAAGGACAAAAUAGUAAUUUUACAGAGAUAAUGGUUGUCGCUAACAUUUCACUAACAUAAUUUAACUUUAGGAACAUAUUUGAAAUAACUUGGAACAUUAAAAAGAUAAUUUUAAUAUCAGCCUUCUAAAAAAGGUAAAUCAGAAAGUCGAAAAUUUUUUAGCAAUAUAUAUGCAAUUGUCCCUUUUAAUCUAAUUAAGAAAAAGAGAUUGUUUUUCAUAUAACUUCACUGGAAUUUUUUUUAAUGGGACGGUUACUAAGACCGCACUGUCCCAUUGGGUUUUUUAGCGCAAUAGUCUUAUCCUAAAAUUUUAUUAUAAAAAUAGACCUGUUAAAUUUUUAUUUAUAAAUAUGGUACUAUAAAAGCGGUGAAUGGUUCACCGCUUUUAAAAGCGGUGAACCAUUUACCGCUUUCUUUCUUUUUCUCACUUCUUCUAUAUUUCUACGAUGGUAAAAGUGGUGAAUGGUUCACUGCUUUUAUUCUUUUUCUACUCCUAAUGAGGAGUUAUGAAUGCGAUGAAUCAUUUACCGCAUUUAGAGGUUUAUUUUUAUAAUUAUUUUUUUAAAAAAAUUAUUUUUAUGAUUAUAAAAAUCGAUAGAAUUAUUUACAAAAAAAAUUCGUCCCAUCCAUAGUUAAUUAAUUUGGAUUCGGCAAAAAUUCGGUAGAGAUAUAAUAUGCAUAAAAUUUAUUUUCUAAUUUUUAAAUUCGUUGAAAAAUUCGGCUUAAAAAACAGAUUCGGUAUGAAAUAUAAAUAUUCAGAUUUUUAAUAAUUUAGAAAUAAUUCGCGAAUUAUUCGGCUGGCCCAAAAAUUCGCGAAUAAAUUUUUUUAAGAAAAUUUGUAAACAGACCGUUUAAUCCGAAUUUUUAGUAAUUCACGAAUAAUUUGUGAUUUUUUUUUUUAAAAAAAAAACCAAAGAAAACAAAGGACAAAACAAAAUCACAAAGCUUCUUCACAAGCACAGAAGCACUCUAAUAUAAAUAAAUCUAAUAUAUGAAUAAUAAAUAAACAUCAUGAAGAGAAAUUAAAAGUGAAAAAGGAGCAUCCAAUUACCCACCAGAUGAUGAUGAUGAUGAUGAUGAUGAAGAUACUGAAGUGUGCAUUAUUACUCUUGAAUCCACAAAUUCACUGCAAUAACUGCUCCAAGCAAUGAGAAUCAAAAGAAACAAAACUUUGAGAUUGGGAUUGGGAUUCCUCAUCUUCAUCUCUCUCUAUCUCCCUCUCUCUCUCUCUCUCUAUGUAUAUUUUGAUUUGAUGCUUCAUAUUGUAUAGUUUUCAAUGCAUGCAUAUAUAUAUAUAUAUAUUUGGAGAAAACACCCAUUUUGACCAUGUCCAAACCAAAAGAGGAGUGCUAGGUCAACAAUCCACUCUAAAUUAUAAUCUUACAAUCCUUUCUGAAAAAAGUCUUUUUUUUUUUUUUUCUACCUGUCUAAUCAUCUUUUAUUUUACACUAAAAAUUUUAAAAUAUUUUUACAGAUUGUACAAUCUCUUAGUAGAGGGGUUGUAGAGAUUACAAUCCUUUUGGGUUGUAAACCUUGCAUAAUAUUUCUCAGGCUAAAAAAACCUAAAAAACGCUAUCUAUAUAUAUACACUAUCGUAGGGAGUGUAAAUUUUACAUCAUGAGCCGACGGGUUCGCAGAGACCAUUUAGAUUUUUAGUAUUAAAAAGAAUAGGAUAAAAUCUAAUAUGCCAUUCAAAACUUUAAAAGUUAAUAUUUUAUUUCUUUCGGGAAAACCAAAAUAUCCUCGUUGAUUUAACACAUUUCUUCAAAUAUGUCCAUUUUGCUUACGGCUUACUAAUAGAAUAGGGUUUUAGAAGACUAUUUUGGUAAUUUGAGGAUAAAUUUAAAGAUUCCCAAUAGUAGUUAAGAGGUAAAUAAACAAAAGUCUCUUAAAAAAAGAAUAGCUUUUAGUAUUAAAAAAACGACAUUGAUGUGACAACUAAAGAAAUAACAUUUUUUGAAUUUAAACUAGUAAAAAAUACCCUAACUAUUGAAUGAGUGGAGUGUAAGAUAUAACUUUAAUUGGCGUGUACAAUGUACUCCAAUUUUGGAGUGUAUAAUAUACACCCACUCAUUCAAUGGAUGAGAUUAUAUCACUUAUCAUAUGAUGUGACUAAUAAAACAUUCCGGCCUGUUAGAUGGGUGGAAUAUAUGAUAUACACCUCUUUUCAUACGUAUAAAUAGCGUUGCUCGUUUCAAAAGAGUCAAAAUGUAUAGAGGCUUCUUAACUUUUAAUUUCUUUUAUUUGAGUUAUUAUGAUUAGUUAAGUUAAUCGUUUCGUUAAAUUUACUGGUUCUGCUAGCGACCGGGCAUAAAUUUGGUCUAAUUUUAUUCGCCAAAAUAUGAUUAAGAAAGUAGUCAAUUUAAUGAAACCACCAGAGGAUUUGAUGAGAACCUCAAACUCAAUUGGAUUGCCUAGUUUUAUUCGCAAUGAUGUGAUUAAAAUGAUUAAAUUUGAAAAAAAUCACAAAUAAAAGAUGUGAUAAAGAUCUCCAAAUUUGAUCCAAUAAAGAUUAUUAGUUUAGGAGAUCUCUAUAUAAAAAAAAUAAUAAUAAGAGAAAUGAUUCGGUACUUUAUUUUAUAAAAAAUAAAAAGAUUUUAACGGUUGAUCAAUAGAGAUUAAAGAUGUAAUUUUAAUAUUUAACAGGUAAAAAGAUUAUUUCAUUCGAGGUUUACUGAGCCUAUUUACAAAUCACACUUCCAAUAGUUUCAAACACUCCAUUUCAUGAAGAACCUUUUUGGUCAUUUCCAUGACUAUAUGGUCAUGGCCACCCAACAUAAUGAAAGAGACUCACCCUUGGCUUACUUGGAAUUCGUCUUUGGUUCGCAACCCGAGGCAUUUUUCUAUAGGGCUGGCAAGCUAGCUCACUGUUCACGAGCCAACUCAUGCUUGGCUCGAAAAUGAGCUUGAGAUCGAUUGCUCGAUUAAUAAAUAAGUCAAACAUGAGUUAAGGUCUGCUUGCUUGUGUUCGGCUCGUGUAAUGUUAGGAUGAUAGUGGUCCCUUAGAACUUAGUGGAUGGUUGGAAAAAUAGUAUGAUCUAAUGGGUGGGAUUGAUCGAAAGGUAGAUUUAAAGGUGGAAAACUAUAUACGGAUUUAUUUAUUAUUUGAUAUCUGUACUGAGACGUAAUGCUUUUUUAUUUGAAUUACUCUAGUUAUUUAACUUAAAUAUUUUAUCAAAUUUAAUUUGAUAGUAAAAAAUCACUUGGUUUUGGAAAGAAAAAAAAAGUUCAAAGGAUGCCAAUUACCAAAAGUAAAAAAUAAAGGAAAAAAAAAAAGUCCAGGGGGCAAUUUCAGAACUGCCUAUAGUUGUGGGGGUUCUCUAUACUUUUUUACAUUUGAUAUUUUUUUGACUUAAAAGGCUAUUGAUUGGAAACCAUGAAACCAAGAAAUGUGGCUCCAAAUGUCCAAUCAUUAAACAUGUUUUUUUUUUUUUUUUUUUUUUUUUUUUUUUUUUUUUUUUUUUUUUUUUUUUUUUUUUUUUUUUUUUUUUUUUUUUUUUUUUUUUUUUUUUUUUUUU